rnacentral:lncRNA from 1 species
CAACCGGCAAUAUAAGUAAUGACGAUACUAUGUCUGGCAUGGUUGAUGUACCCGAACAUCUCAUGCCAACAAUUACUCUUGGACGUUUGCUUCACCAUUUCCUUUUUCUGCUUGAGUCCCAAGUGGUGGUUUUGGUUGUGCAUUCGGGUCAGGCAGUGGUUGUGGAUUCGGGUCUGGUAAUGGUUGUGGGUUUGGAUCAGGUUGCGGUCCUGGUAAUGGCUGAGGGUUUGGGUUUGGCUGUGGGUCCGGCAAUGGCUUCGGGUUUGGGUCUGGUAAUGGUUGCGGGUUUGGAUGAGGUUGUGGUCCUGGUAAUGGCUGAGGGUUUGGGUUUGGCUGUGGGUUCGGCAAUGGUAUCGGGUUUGGGUCUGGUAAUGGUUCUGGGUUUGGAUCAGGCUGUGGUCCUGGUAAUGGCUGAGGGUUUGGGUUUGGUUGUGGGUCCGGCAAUGGUUUUGGGUUUGGGUCUGGUAAUGGUUGUGGAUUUCGAUCAGGCUGCGGUCUUGGUAAUGGUUGAGGGUUUGGUUUUGCUCGUGGGUCUGGUAGUGGCCGCGGCUUUGUGUUUGGCUGUGGGUUCAUCAACUGUUGCAGGUUUUGUCCUGGCAAUAGUUGUGGAUUUGGGUCAGGNNNNNNNNNNGUUGUGGGUUUGGAUCAGGUUGCGGCCCUGGUAGUGGCUUAGGGUUUGGGUUUGGCUGUGGGUCCGGCAAUGGUUUUGGGUUUGGGUCUGGUAAUGGUUGUGGAUUUCGAUCAGGCUGCGGUCUUGGUAAUGGUUGAGGGUUUGGUUUUGCUCGUGGGUCUGGUAGUGGCCGCGGCUUUGUGUUUGGCUGUGGGUUCAUCAACUGUUGCAGGUUUUGUCCUGGCAAUAGUUGUGGAUUUGGGUCAGGGUGUGGUCCUGGUAAUGGUUGAGCGUUUGGAUCAGGUUGUGGAUCUAGCAGUGGUUGUGGGUUUGUAUGAGGUUUAGGCUCGGGUAGCGGUUGCGGCUUUGGGUCUGGUUGUGGUCCCGGCAAUGGUUGAGGGUUUGGAUCUGGCUGUUUUCCUGGUAGUGGUUCUGGAUUUGGGUUCGCCCGUGGGCCGUACUGAGGGUCUCUAGUGAUCAGGUUGUGCCUCCCGGCAGCAAGAGCAAACACUGGAAGAAGCAUAAGCAGCAACGGUGCUACGAGAAGAGAAGACGCGGAUGGGCGCUUCCUCAUCGUCAUGGCUAAGCUUGUGUUGGUACGAACUUGCAAGUGCGUGCGUCUCGAUCUUCCUAUUUAUAAGCGAAUUCAGCCAUCAAGGCUGGACAAGCAUGUACGUUGUUUACUCCAACUCUGAUUGGGCUUGUUAGCUUUGCCUUUUUGAAGAUGCGGGACUGCACGCCUCCGCUUAGUGCUCUAACCAGCAGCUAGCCACAAUAAAAAGUCAUUUAGAAAAGUUUUGAGUUAUCAUCAUAAAGAAAAAGUUUGUGUAGUUUUCGUCUGGAUAGAUGUGACAUUUUUCAGUUGAUCGUAGGAGAGCAACAUGCAGAAGCAUACAGUUGCCCAAGUUGUGAACAACCUGAUCACUUUCAGUAAUUCUGUUGAAUUCAUAGCAGGGUAGCAGAUGGCUGUGAGCAUGGAAUUUGUAAAUCAUGUAAUUUUUUUUAAAAUAAGAAAAAUCAUGUAAACACGUAUACAUGUUAUUUGCGUGUCCAAGAAGUUUAAUUAAGCCAUACACAGAUUUGUAGGCUACAUAAAAAAAAUCCAGCCCAAAUGCAAUAGAAAUAAGCCUAUUUUAAAUUAUGUAUUUGUCGUUUUCCCCUUUGUGUAGACUAUAUAUGAUUUUUUUUCAAAUAUAUUUUGUUGAAAUUUUGUAUGAACACACUAUACCUUUUUUAUUGAAAAUUUUGAGGUGCAAGAAUAAAGUUCUUGAUAAAAAAUAAAGAAGCCUGUACGAUGUAUUGUUGUACACAGGAAUAUCGUGGAUUCUAAACUUGAGGUUUGCAUGGAUGGAUUUUUUUUACGGAAUCUAGUUUAAAUGAGUCCUAUUGUUUCCCGUAUGAAUUCCUAUUCUAUGACUCAAACAACACAUACAGAAAAAUUUUCUAAGGAUUAGAUUCCUCCAAAAUUCUAUUAAAAGUUUAAAACCCCUUUGAAUCAAAGAAGCCUAUUCCCCCCAAAAUAAAGAAAAGAAUCAAAUGAGCUCGGGUGAACAGUAAAAUCAAAACUAAAUCAAUUUUUUUUUAAAAAAAUCCAAUUUUUUUUGGGAGAAAAAGUUCUAAGUGCUUGCAAAAAUUCGCCAUGAAAUCACAUUUCUAGAAGGCGUGGCAAAAAAAAAAAACAAAAUCAGUACUCUGAAAAAGCUACUUUCAAAAGCAUUUUGGAGCACUGAAUUUGUUUUUUUUGCCACGCUUUACAGGAAUGUGAUUUCAUGAUGAAUUUUUGCAAGCACUUAAAACUUUUGUUAAUGUUUCUCCCAAAAAAAAUUGGGAAUUUUUUGAAUUUUUUUUGAAUUUUUUUCGAUUUUACUGUUCACCAAGCUCAAAUGAGCUCGGGAGCAGAAAGGCACUUUCGAUCAAAGAAGCCUAUUUCGCAGCAAAGCUAGUGGCUGUCCUAUCGGACAGUGAUGCACCUUUAAGUACGCGGUUUCUAAUAAUCACGAUCAGUGCACGCCGUGCACAGUGCACUCAUUUCGGUUGUAGAUGUAACUUUCACAUUUCAUACACCAAUCACGAUCAGUUGCUUGUUGGCACGGGCGGAGCUCCGUAGGGGCAGACCUGGGCCAUGGCCCGCCCAGGAAUUUGACAAAAAAAGUUUUUACUACUAGUCGUCUUAGCCCAGCCCACUAGCCCACGCACGCACUGAAUAUCCCCCCAUCGGCCAUCGUCUCCUCGUCUCGCGCACGCUGCACGCACAGGCACACUCACGCCUUCCCCAAUUCCCCAUCCUCUCAGUCCCAGACUCAUGUAGGUUGUAGCCACGCCGCCGACGACUACCGACGUGGACAGGGAACACGUCCACACGGUCCACCGGAGCGCGCCGCCCGCCAUCUCUCGGAGCAACCGCCAUGGCAACGCCCGCCGGGAUCUCGCCUCGCCCCUGCCCUGCUCCCUCCUGCCGCCCAUCAUCCGCACACUUACANNNNNNNNNNNNNNNNNNNNNNNNNNNNNNNNNNNNNNNNNNNNNNNNNNNNNNNNNNNNNNNNNNNNNNNNNNNNNNNNNNNNNNNNNNNNNNNNNNNNNNNNNNNNNNNNNNNNNNNNNNNNNNNNNNNNNGCAAUAACCUGAUUUUGUUCAUUUCCAUACACCCAGUGAUCAGUCCUGCUAGUGAUAAAUAAUAGUCUGAUGAUCUGAUCUUACGCAAAUUUUAACAUAGGUAGUCGGGAAAGGAAAAUAAGACUCAGAGAAGAAGAAGAUCACUGCACAAUAAGAUGGAAGAUGAGAAUCUGGCUAAUAACUUGUUAGUUCACAUAGAUGGUGGAAUUCUAGAAAACUACAGCCACGAAGAUGUCAUUGCAGAUUUUAUAAACAAGAAGAUCGGAGAGUUGAUUGUAUGUGAGUAGGUCCAUGUCUAAUGUCUCUGACACUUUUGUAUUAUCUAACUCAAUAGUGAAACAUGGUUGAACUGUACUUUGGUACAUAUAUAUAUUAUAUAUAUACAUAUCUGCUAGCUCAAUCUUGUGACCUGGGUGCUUGUAAUAUGUCCUUAUGGGUAAGAAUUUAGAAAAAAUUGUGUUCUUCUUCAGUCUGGCCCGCCCAACUUUUUCGUUCAAGCUCCGCCACUGCUUGUUGGUGCACAUCCAAUGCUCUAGAAUAAAACAAAAAGUACUCCUAUAUACAAAACGUACUUUACCUAACCUACCGAUUGAAUCGUAUACAUAGAUGAAAAAGAAAAGACAUCCGUAGAGUCCCAAGUUACCUACCGAUUGAAUCGUAUGUAUAGAUGAAAAAGAAAAGACAUCCAUAGAGUACCAAGUUACCUACCGAUUGAAUCAUACAUAUAGACGAAAAAGAAAAGACAUGCAUAGAGUACCAAGUUAAAGACGAUAUGACCUCACAACUAGAUUGGGUUGGGUGAGUGGAGUGCCACUUUAAUCCUUGUCUGGAGCACGCGCUAUGAUAUUUCUUCAGAGGCGCUGAAGUGGGGAACAAGACUGAUAGAACAAACAACAAGUGAGAUAUUUUGAGCUUCACUAGGUUGGAGGCCUGGUGUGCUCAGAAUUUAUCAGGGUGUAUUCAGGUUGCAGCACUGCUGCCAAGGCAUUUCUCCAGCUUCGCUCUGAAGAUCUUUUGCUUUGCUUUGUUCCUCUGUUUGUUUGUAAUGAAGUUCCCGUGUUUUGUGAUGGUUGCAAGUUCCCUGUAGUCUUUAUAUAUUUGGCUCAAGGGUGCCUGAAAAUUUCAUAGUUAUGUUUAAAAAAAUGCCGUAGUUGUUAGUUUUUGGACCAUCUAUCUAAAUCUAUCAAAGACCCUGUUGCCCGAGCUAGCCAAUCAAAGUUGGGCCAUUUGCAUCAAGCUAGGUAGGAUGCGUCGCCGGAAAACCCAAAUCGCUAAUUAAGGAGUACUCUUUGCAAAGGUCACUCCUACCAUGUCGCAACUAGUGAGUUUUCCUUUUUUUGUCGAUUCGUUUAUUCAACACGUUUUAUCGGUUAAAACAUGCAUUCACAUCUUGAAUCGUUUUCUCCAUUGUAUUCCUCGCACUGAGAUCUUGAAAAUUAGAUCCGAUCUGAUAGGUUUUGAUGAACGUUUUACUUUACGAAAAAUACCGAACAAAAAACAAACCGGGAGCACAUUUUUUCCUUUCUGAAAAGGGCACAAUCGUGCCUCUCGUGUCGUUACAAAUCUUAUCUCUGUUCGUCGUUACAAAUCCUAUGAAUUGCUAUUCUAUCUUCACAACAUCCUAUACUCCCCUUGUGUCGUUACAAAUCUUAUCUCUGUUCGUCGUUUUUGCAUUGACAAUUCAGUAACAAUUGAGUUUUACCCCCUUGACUUUGUUGUGAAGGAUCUAGCCACUCGGACUCCUUAUGAGCCGCAGUAGCUACGGCCAGCUUUACUCCUUCUCCGGCGGCACCACCAACCACCAGGCGGUGCUCUCUAUGGACGUUGGAAACUUGUGGCAUCAGCGAUUAGGGCACCCCAGUGCUGCCUCCCUUUCCCGUUUGGCGAGCAGUUUUUAACCAAAUUGUAAUAAGCCAGUCCACCCCAUGGUACUUGUCAUGCAUGUCAAUUAGGCCACCAUGCUCUCCUUCCUUUUUCCAGAUUCUCUGUCAUUUACUACUUUUCCUUUUCAACUAGUGCACUAUGAUAUAUGAACCUCAACAAUUGCGAGUUUUUCCGGCUUCAAAUAUUAUUUGUUUGUCAUAGACGACUUCACUCACUUCCCUUGGAGCUUCCCGCUACACCAUAAGCCCCAUGCCGCUGCCACCCUUGAACGCUUUUACCAGUACGUGCUCAUACAAUUCCGUGUUUACAUACAGUGUGUCCAAUGUGAUAAUGGGGGCGACUUCCUCAACGUUCACCUAUGCACUUUCUGUUGGGGAACGUUGCAGAAAACAAAAAUUUUCCUACGGUUUCACCAAGAUCCAUCUAGGACUUCAUCUAGCAACGAGUAAUCGGAUUGCAUCUACGUACCUUGUAGAUCGCGAGUGGAAGCGUUCAAAGAACGGGGAUGAGGGAGUCGUACUCGACGUGAUCCAAAUCACCGGAGAUCCUAGCGCCGAACGGACGACACCUCCGCGUUCAACACACGUACGGUCAGCGUAACGUCUCCUUCCUCUUGAUCCAGCAAGGGGCAAGGAGAGGUUGAGGAAGAUGGCUCCAGCAGCAGCACGACGGCGUGGUGGUGAUGGAGCUGCAGUACUCCGGCAGGGCUUCGCCAAGCUCUAUGGAGGAGGAGGAUGUGUUGGAGAGGGAGAGGGAGGCACCAAAGGCAAAGGUAAGAGGUCCUCCAUCCUCCCCACUAUAUAUAGGGGGGCCUAGGGGGGGACGCCGGCCCUAGGAGAUGCAAUCUCCUAGGGGGGCGGCGGCCAAGGGGUGGGGGACUUGCCCCCCAAGCAAGGGGGCGUCCCCCCCCUUUAGGGUUUCCCCCACCCUAGGCGCAUGGGCCCUAGGGGAAGUGGCGCCCCAGCCCACUUUGGGCUGGAUCCCUUCCCACUUCAGCCCAUGGGGCCCUCCGGGAUAGGUGGCCCCACCCGGUGGACCCCCGGGACCCUUCCGGUGGUCCCGGUACAAUACCGGUGACCCCGAAACUUGUCCCGAUAGCCGAAAUAGCACUUCCUAUAUAUAAUUAUUUACCUCCGGACCAUUCCGGAACUCCUCGUGAUGUCCGGGAUCUCAUCCGGGACCCCGAACAACAUCCGGGUUACUGCAUAUACAUAUCCCUAUAACCCUAGCGUCACCGAACCUUAAGUGUGUAGACCCUACGGGUUCGGGAGACAUGUAGACAUGACCGAGAUCGCUCUCCGGUCAAUAAACAAUAGCGGGAUCUGGAUACCCAUGUUGGCUCCCACAUGCUCCUCGAUGAUCUCAUCGGAUGAACCACGAUGUCGAGGAUUCAAGCAACCCCGUAUACAAUUCCCUUCGUCAGUCGGUAUGUUACUUGCCCGAGAUUCGGUCGUCGGUAUCCCAAUACCUCGUUCAAUCUCGUUACCGGCAAGUCACUUUACUCUUACCGUAAUGCAUGAUCCCGUGACCAGACACUUGGUCACUUUGAGCUCAUUAUGAUGAUGCAUUACCGAGUGGGCCCAGUGAUACCUCUUCGUCAUACGGAGUGACAAAUUCCAGUCUUGAUCCGUGUCAACCCAACAGACACUUUCGGAGAUACCCGUAGUAUACCUUUAUAGUCACCCAGUUACUUGUGACGUUUGGUACACCCAAAGCACUCCUACGGUAUCCGGGAGUUACACGAUCUCAUGGUCUAAGGAAAAGAUACUUGACAUUGGAAAACUCUAGCAAAUGAACUAUACGAUCUUGUGCUAUGUUUAGGAUUGGGUCUUGUCCAUCACAUCAUUCUCCUAAUGAUAUGAUCUCGUUAUCAAUGACAUUCAAUGUCCAUAGUCAGGAAACCAUGACUAUCUUUGAUCAACGAGCUAGUCAACUAGAGGCUUACUAGGGACAUGUUGGUGUCUAAGUAUUCACACAUGUAUUACAAUUUCCGGAUAACACAAUUAUAGCAUGAAUAAAAGACAAUUAUCAUGAACAAGGAAAUAUAAUAAUAAUGCUUUUAUUAUUGCCUCUAGGGCAUAUUUCCAACAGUCUCCCACUUGCACUAGAGUCAAUAAUCUAGUUACAUUGUGAUGAAUCGAACACCCAUGGAAUUCUGGUGUUGAUCAUGUUUUGCUCUAGGGAGAGGUUUAGUCAACGGAUCUGCUACAUUCAGGUCCAUAUGUACUUUACAAAUAUCUAUGUCUCCAUCUUGAACAUUUUCACGAAUGGAGUUGAAGCGACGCUUGAUGUGCCUCGUCUUCUUGUGAAAUCUGGGCUCCUUGGCAAGUGCAAUAGCUCCAUGUUGUCACAGAAGAGCUUCAUAGGCCCCGAUGCAUUGGGUAUGACUCCUAGGUCGGUGAUGAACUCCUUCACCCAAAUUGCUUCAUGCGCUGCCUCCGAGGCUGCCAUGUACUCCGCUUCACAUGUAGAUCCCGCCACGACGCUCUUCUUGCAACUGCACCAGCUUACUGCCCUACCAUUCAAAAUAUACACGUAUCCGGUUUGUGACUUAGAGUCAUCCAGAUCUGUGUCGAAGCUAGCAUCGACGUAACCAUUUACGACGAGCUCUUCGUCACCUCCAUAGACGAGAAACAUUUCCUUAGUCCUUUUCAGGUACUUCAGGAUAUUCUUGACCGCUGUCCAGUGUUCCUUGCCGGGAUUACUUUGGUACCUACCUACCAAACUUACGGCUAGGUUUACAUCAGGUCUGGUACACAGCAUGGCAUACAUAAUAGAACCUAUGGCUGAGGCAUAGGGGAUGAUACUCAUCUCUUCUAUAUCUUCUGCCGUGGUCGGACAUUGAGCUGAGCUCAAUUUCAUACCUUGCAACACAGGCAAGAACCCCUUCUUAGACUGAUCCAUAUUGAAUUUCUUCAAUAUCUUAUCAAGGUAUGUGCUUUGUGAAAGACCUAUGAGGCGUCUUGAUCUAUCUCUGUAGAUCUUGAUGCCUAAUAUAUAAGCAGCUUCUCCAAGGUCCUUCAUUGAAAAACUCUUAUUCAAGUAGGCCUUAAUGCUGUCCAAAAGUUCUAUAUCAUUUCCCAUCAAAAGUAUGUCAUCUACAUAUAAUAUGAGAAAUGCUACAGAGCUCCCACUCACUUUCUUGUAAACACAGGCUUCUCCAUAAGUCUGCGUAAACCCAAACGCUUUGAUCAUCUCAUCAAAGCGAAUGUUCCAACUCCGAGAUGCUUGCACCAGCCCAUAAAUCGAGCGUUGGAGCUUGCACACCUUGUCAGCAUACUUAGGAUCGACAAAACCUUACGGCUGCAUCAUAUACCAUUCUUCCUUAAGGAAACCAUUAGGAAUGCCGUUUUGACGUCCAUUUGCCAUAUUUCAUAAUCAUAGAAUGCGGCAAUUGCUAACAUGAUUCGGACGGACUUCAGCUUCGCUACCGGUGAGAAAGUCUCAUCGUAGUCAACCCCUUGAACUUGUCGAUAACCCUUAGCGACAAGCCGAGCUUUAUAGAUGGUCACACUACCAUCCGCGUCUGUCUUCUUCUUAAAGAUCCAUUUAUUUUCUAUGGCUUGCCGCUCUACGGCCAAGUCAGUCAAAGUCCAUACUUCGUUUUCAUACAUGGAUCCUAUCUCGGAUUUCAUGGCUUCCAGCCAUUUGUCAGAAUCCGGGCCCGCCAUCGCUUCUUCAUAGUUUGAAGGUUCACCGUUGUCUAACAACAUGAUUUCCAAGACAGGGUUGCCGUACCAAUCUGGUGCGGAACGUGUCCUUGUGGACCUUCGAAUUUCAGUAGGAGCUUGAUCAGAAGUAUCUUGAUCAUCAUCAUUAACUUCCUCUCUAGUCGGUGCAGGCACCUCAGGAACAUUUUCUUGAGUUGCGCCAUUUUCCGGUUCAAGAGGUAAUACUUCAUCAAGUUCUACUUUCCUCCCAUUUACUUCUUUCGAGAGAAACUCCUUCUCUAGAAAGGAUCCAUUCUUGGCAACAAAGAUCUUGCCUUCGGAUCUGAGGUAGAAGGUAUACCCAAUAGUUUCUUUAGGGUAUCCUAUGAAGACGCAUUUUUCCGACUUGGGUUCGAGCUUUUCAGGUUGAAGUUUCUUGACAUAAGCAUCGCAUACCCAAACUUUUAGAAACGAUAGCUUAGCUUUCUUCCCAAACCAUAAUUCAUACGGUGUCGUCUCAACGGAUUUCGACGGAGCCCUAUUUAAAGUGAAUGCGGGAGUCUCUAAAGCAUAGCCCCAAAAAGAUAGCGGUAAAUCGGUAAGAGACAUCAUAGAUCACACCAUAUCUAAUAGAGUGCGAUUACGACGUUCGGACACACCAUUACGCUGAGGUGUUCCAAGCGGCGUGAGUUGUGAAACUAUUCCAUAUUUUCUUAAGUGUGUGCCAAACUCGUGACUCAAGUAUUCUCCUUCACGAUCUGAUCGCAGGAACUUGAUUUUCCUGUCACGUUGAUUCUCAACCUCACUCUGAAAUUCCUUGAACUUUUCAAAGGUCUCAGACUUGUGUUUCAUUAAGUAGACAUACCCAUAUAUACUCAAGUCAUCAGUGAGGGUGAGAACAUAACGCCACCGUGAGCCUCAACAGUCAUUGGACCGCACACAUCAGUAUGUAUGAUUUCCAAUAAGUUGGUUUCUCGCUCCAUUGUUCCUGAGAACGGAGUCUUGGUCAUUUUACCCAUGAGGCAUGAUUCGCACAUGUCAAAUGAUUCGUAAUCAAGAGACUCUAAAAGUCCAUCAGCAUGGAGCUUCUUCAUGCGUUUGACACCUAUGUGACCAAGGCGGCAGUGCCACAAGUAUGUGGGACUAUCAUUAUCAAUCUUACAUCUUUUGGUACUCACACUAUGAACAUGUGUAGCAUUACGCUCGAGAUUCAUUAAGAAUAAACCAUUCACCAUCGGAGCAUGACCAUAAAACAUAUCUCUCAUAUAAAUAGAACAACCAUUAUUCUCGGAUUUAAAUGAGUAGCCAUCUCGAAUUAAACGAGAUCCUGAUACAAUGUUCAUGCUCAAAGCUAGCACUAAAUAACAAUUAUUAAGGUUUAAAACUAAUCCCGAAGGUAAAUGUAGAGGUAGCGUGCCGACGGCGAUCACAUUGACCUUGGAACCAUUCCCGACGCGCAUCGUCACCUCGUCCUUCGCCAGUCUCCGCUUAUUCCGCAGCUCCUGUUUUGAGUUACAAAUGUGAGCAACCGCACCGGUAUCAAAUACCCAGGAGCUACUACGAGUACUGGUAAGGUACACAUCAAUUACAUGUAUAUCACAUAUACCUUUCGUGAUGCCGGCCUUCUUGUCCGCUAAGUAUUUGGGGCAGUUUCGCUUCCAGUGACCACUUCCCUUGCAAUAAAAGCACUUAGUCUCGGGCUUGGGUCCAUUCUUUGGCUUCUUCCCGGCAGCUUGCUUGCCGGGCGCGGCAACUCCCUUGUCGUCCUUCUUGAAGGCUUUCUUACCCUUGCCCUUCUUGAACUUAGUGGUUUUAUUCACCAUCAACACUUGAUGUUCCUUUUUGACUUCUACCUCAGCUGAUUUCAGCAUUGCAAAUACGUCAGGAAUGGUCUUUUCCAUCCCCUGCAUAUUGAAGUUUAUCACAAAGCUCUUGUAGCUCGGUGGAAGCGACUGAAGGAUUCUGUCAAUGACCGUGUCAUCCGGGAGAUUAACUCCCAGCUGAGUCAAGCGGUUAUGCAACCCAGACAUAAUGAGUAUGUGCUCACUGACAGAACUGUUUUCCUCCAUCUUACAGCUGAAGAACUUGUCGGAGACUUGAUAUCUCUCGACCCGGGCAUGAGCUUGGAAAACCAUUUUCAGCUCUUCGAACAUCUCAUAUGCUCCGUGUCUCUCAAAACGCUUUUGGAGCCCCGGCUCUAAGCUGUAAAGCAUGCCGGACUGAACGAGGGAGUAGUCAUCGGUACGUGCCUGCCAAGCGUUCAUAACGUCUUGUUCUGCAGGGAGAACAGGUGUGUCACCUGGCGGUGCUUGUAGGACAUAAUCUUUCUUGGCAGCUAUGAGGAUGAUCCUCAGGUUUCGGACCCAGUCCGUGUAGUUGCUGCCAUCGUCUUUCAGCUUGGUUUUCUCUAGGAACGCGUUGAAGUUGAGGACUACGUUGGCCAUUUGAUCUACAAGACAUAUUGUAAAUUUUUUAGACUAAGUUCAUGAUAAUUAAGUUCAUCUAAUCAAAUUAUUCAAUGAACUCCCACUUAGAUAGACAUCCCUCCAGUAAUCUAAGUAUAACAUGAUCCGAGUUAACUAGGACGUGUCCGAUCAUCACGUAAGACGGACUAGUCAACAUCGGUGAACAUCUUCAUGUUGAUCGUAUCUUCUAUAUGACUCAUGCUCGACCUUUCGGUCUUCUGUGUUCCGAGGCCAUGUCUGUACAUGCUAGGCUCGUCAAGUCAACCUAAGUGUUUGCAUGUGUAAAUCUGUCUUACACCCGUUGUAUGUGAACGUUGGAAUGAAUCUAACACCCGAUCAUCACGUGGUGCUUCGAAACAACGAACUGUCGCAAUGGUGCACAGUUAGGAGAAACACUUUCUUGAAAUUAUUAUGAGGGAUCAUCUUAUUUACUAUCGUUGUUCUAAGUAAACAAGAUGCAGAAACAUGAUAAACAUCACAUGCAAUCAAAUAGUGACAUGAUAUGGCCAAUAUCACAUAGCUCCUUUGAUCUCCAUCUUGGGGCUCCAUGAUCAUCUUGUCACCAGCAUGACACCAUGAUCUCCAUCAUCAUGAUCUCCAUCACAGUGUCUCCAUGAAGUUGCUCGCCAACUAUUACUUCUACUACUAUGGCUAACACGUUUAGCAAUAAAGUAAAGUAAUUUACAUGGCGUUUCUCAAUGAAACGCAGGUCAUACAAAAAAUAAAGACAACUCCUAUGGCUCCUGCCGGUUGUCAUACUCAUCGACAUGCAAGUCGUGAUUCCUAUUACAAUAGCAUGAGCAUCUCAUACAUCACAUGUAUAUCAUUCAUCAUUCAUCACAACUUUGGCCAUAUCACAUCACAGAACACUUGCUGCAAAAACAAGUUAGACGUCCUCUAAUUGUUGUUGCAAGUUUUACGUGGCUGCAAUAGGGUUCUAGCAAGAACGUUUUCUUACCUACGUGAAAGCCACAACAUGAUUUGUCAACUUCUAUUUACCCUUCAUAAGGACCCUUUUCAUCGAAUCCGCUCCAACUAAAGUGGGAGAGACAGACACCCGCCAGCCACCUUAUGCAACUUGUGCAUGUUAGUCGGUGGAACCGGUCUCACGUAAGCGUACGUGUAAGGUUGGUCCGGGCCGCUUCAUCCCACAAUACCGUUGAAGCAAGAUAAGACUAGUAGCGGCAAGAAAGUUGACAACAUCUACGCCCACAACAAAUUGUGUUCUACUCGUGCAAAGAGAACUACGCAUAGACCUAGCUCAUGAUGCCACUGUUGGGGAACGUUGCAGAAAACAAAAUUUUUCCUACGGUUUCACCAAGAUCCAUCUAGGAGUUCAUCUAGCAACGAGUGAUCGGAUUGCAUCUACGUACAUUGUAGAUCGCGAGCGGAAGCGUUCAAAGAACGGGGAUGAGGGAGUCGUACUCGACGUGAUCCAAAUCACCGGAGAUCCUAGCGCCGAACGGACGGCACCUCCGCGUUCAACAGACGUACGGUCAGCGUAACGUCUCCUUCCUCUUGAUCCAGCAAGGGGCAAGGAGAGGUUGAGGAAGAUGGCUCCAGCAGCAGCACGAUGGCGUGGUGGUGAUGGAGCUGCAGUACUCCGGCAGGGCUUCGCCAAGCUCUAUGGAGGAGGAUGUGUUGGAGAGGGAGAGGGAGGCACCAAAGGCAAAGGUAAGAGGUCCUCCAUCCUCCCCACUAUAUAUAGGGGGGCCUGGGGGGGGGGGCGCCGGCCCUAGGAGAUGCAAUCUCCUAGGGGGGCGGCGGCCAAGGGGUGGGGGACUUGCCCCCAAGCAAGGGGGCGCCCCCCCCUUUAGGGUUUCCCCCACCCUAGGCGCAUGGGCCCUAAGGGAAGUGGCGCCCCAGCCCACUUUGGGCUGGAUCCCUUCCCACUUCAGCCCAUGGGGCNNNNNNNNNNNNNNNNNNNNNNNNNNNNNNNNNNNNNNNNNNNNNNNNNNNNNNNNNNNNNNNNNNNNNNNNNNNNNNNNNNNNNNNNNNNNNNNNNNNNNNNNNNNNNNNNNNNNNNNNNNNNNNNNNNNNNNNNNNNNNNNNNNNNNNNNNNNNNNNNNNNNNNNNNNNNNNNNNNNNNNNNNNNNNNNNNNNNNNNNNNNNNNNNNNNNNNNNNNNNNNNNNNNNNNNNNNNNNNNNNNNNNNNNNNNNNNNNNNNNNNNNNNNNNNNNNNNNNNNNNNNNNNNNNNNNNNNNNNNNNNNNNNNNNNNNNNNNNNNNNNNNNNNNNNNNNNNNNNNNNNNNNNNNNNNNNNNNNNNNNNNNNNNNNNNNNNNNNNNNNNNNNNNNNNNNNNNNNNNNNNNNNNNNNNNNNNNNNNNNNNNNNNNNNNNNNNNNNNNNNNNNNNNNNNNNGGAAGAUGGCUCCAGCAGCAGCACGAUGGCGUGGUGGUGAUGGAGCUGCAGUACUCCGGCAGGGCUUCGCCAAGCUCUAUGGAGGAGGAUGUGUUGGAGAGGGAGAGGGAGGCACCAAAGGCAAAGGUAAGAGGUCCUCCAUCCUCCCCACUAUAUAUAGGGGGGCCUAGGGGGGGGGGCGCCGGCCCUAGGAGAUGCAAUCUCCUAGGGGGGCGGCGGCCAAGGGGUGGGGGACUUGCCCCCAAGCAAGGGGGCGCCCCCCCCUUUAGGGUUUCCCCCACCCUAGGCGCAUGGGCCCUAAGGGAAGUGGCGCCCCAGCCCACUUUGGGCUGGAUCCCUUCCCACUUCAGCCCAUGGGGCCCUCCGGGAUAGGUGGCCCCACCCGGUGGACCCCCGGGACCCUUCCGGUGGUCCCGGUACAAUACCGGUGACCCCGAAACUUGUCCCGAUAGCCGAAAUAGCACUUCCUAUAUAUAAUUCUUUACCUCCGGACCAUUCUGGAACUCCUCGUGAUGUCCGGGAUCUCAUCCGGGACCCCGAACAACAUUCGGGUUACUGCAUAUACAUAUCCCUAUAACCCUAGCGUCACCGAACCUUAAGUGUGUAGACCCUACAGGUUCGGGAGACAUGUAGACAUGACCGAGAUCGCUCUCCGGUCAAUAACCAACAGCGGGAUCUGGAUACCCAUGUUGGCUCCCACAUGCUCCUCGAUGAUCUCAUCGGAUGAACCACGAUGUCGAGGAUUCAAGCAACCCCGUAUACAAUUCCCUUCGUCAGUCGGUAUGUUACUUGCCCGAGAUUCGAUCGUCGGUAUCCCAAUACCUCGUUCAAUCUCGUUACCGGCAAAUCACUUUACUCUUACCGUAAUGCAUGAUCCCGUGACCAGACACUUGGUCACUUUGAGCUCAUUAUGAUGAUGCAUUACCGAGUGGGCCCAGUGAUACCUCUCCGUAAUACGGAGUGACAAAUCCCAGUCUUGAUCCGUGUCAACCCAACAGACACUUUCAGAGAUACCCGUAGUAUACCUUUAUAGUCACCCAGUUACGUUGUGACGUUUGGUACACCCAAAGCACUCCUACGGUAUCCGGGAGUUACACGAUCUCAUGGUCUAAAGGAAAAGAUACUUGACAUUGGAAAACUCUAGCAAACGAACUAUACGAUCUUGUGCUAUGUUUAGGAUUGGGUCUUGUCCAUCACAUCAUUCUCCUAAUGAUGUGAUCUCGUUAUCAAUGACAUCCAAUGUCCAUAGUCAGGAAACCAUGACUAUCUGUUGAUCAACGAGCUAGUCAACUAGAGGCUUACCGGGGACAUGUUGGUGUCUAAGUAUUCACACAUGUAUUAUGAUUUCCGGAUAACACAAUUAUAGCAUGAAUAAAAGACAAUUAUCAUGAACAAGGAAAUAUAAUAAUAAUGCUUUUAUUAUUGCCUCUAGGGCAUAUUUCCAACACUUUCCUCUACGAGGCAUCACCCUUUGUCACUCUUGCCCGCACACCUCCCCUCAAAACGAGAAGGCCGAGCACGGCAUUCGCUCCAUGAACGACAUUAUGCGCACACUCCUCCAAGCUCACAUGCCACCUUCGUUUUGGGUCGACGCCCUCAACACCACCACAUACUUACUGAAUUUCGCCCAUCCCGAGCCAUCGACCACAUCCCACCCUACUACGCCCUCUUUGGUACCUCUCCAGAUUACAGCUCCCUACGCACGUUCGUCUGCCUCUGCUACCAAAACCUCUAUGCCACUAUGCCCUACAAAUUAGCUCCCCGCUCCGUUCGCUGCAUUCUCCUCGGUAUGCCACUUGAGCAUAAAGGCUACAGGUGCCUGGACCUCUCCAAUCGAUGACUCAUUACCUCUAGACAUGUCAUUUUUUGACGAAAACACCUUCCCAUUCAUUGAUGCCCCGAGCGGCCACACGCCUGCACGAGCAGGGUCUGCUCCGGCCGCAGAAAAUCAAGCACCCACCUCCAUCCCCCUCGGAUCACCCACUCCACCAGUCACGCACCACCUCCCAUCCCCAAGCAUGCAGCCCGACCCCACCUCCCAAACCCAUGCAGUGAUUCACCCAUCACCUGCAUGCGGCGCGCCUCCCCUCGUGUCGACUCCACGCCUAGAUGCAGUAGCCCGCCACUUACGCCUCUGCAUGCAGCGCCCCUCACUCUAUGCCGCCCACGCAUGUAGUACGAUCCCACCCUGAGUCGUGCCGAUUUUACCUGCCAAAAACUUGCAUGCCAGGCGCACCUGCGCAAAGUCCAGUUUUCUGCAGCCAAAGAAGCUUCUGACCGUCGCUACCUCUCCCGCCCCCAUCUCUCCUAUUCCCGCAAACUACAAAGAAGCUCUCAAAGACCCCAACUGGUACAAUGUUAUGCUUGAAGAAUUUAACGCUUUGUUGCAAAGCAAAACGUGGUCUUUGGUUGCUUGCUCUGCAGGUGUCAACUUGGUGUCUGGGAAGUGGAUAUUCCGCCACAAGCUUCAUCUCGACGGCUCCCUCGCUCGGUACAAGGCGUGUUGGGUACUUCGUGGCUUCACAAAGCAGCCUGGCAUUGACUACGGGGAGACCUUCAGCCCCGUGUGGUGAAACCGGCCACCAUCCGCGUCAUCCUCAGUGUCGCCAUCAGUAACCGUUGGGCCAUUAACCAGCUGGACAUGAAGAACCCCUUCCUCCACGGCACUCUCGAUGAGCUCGUCUACAGUCAGCCGCCGGCUAGCUUCGUCGACACCGCACACCCCUCGACCAUGUGCAAACUCCAAAAGUCCUUGUAUGACUUAAGCAGGCUCCUCGUGCGUGGUUCCAGCGGUUCACCACAUUCCUUCUCUCGCUCGGCUUCACGGUGUCAAGAUCCGACACAUCCCUAUUUAUUCUCCGCCGUGGCACCUCAGUGGCAUACCUCUUGCUAUAUGUUGACGAUAUCAUUCUCACCGCUAGCUCCUCCGGGUUACUCACCAUCGUUACCGCCGCUCUCACCUCUGAGUUCUCCAUGGCGAACCUCAGCUCGCUCCACCACUUCCUUGGCGUCAAUGUUCAGUGCAGCCCCACUGGUUUGUUUCUUUCCGAGCAACAGUAUGCGCUCGAGAUCCUUGAUCGCGCCUCCAUGCUCAACUGCAAACCCAUCACUACCCCCGUCGACACCAAAGCAAAGCUCGCCACCUCGCCACCUCAGCUAACGACUCUGCUCCUGACCCAUCCCUCUUCCAUAGUCUCGCCGGUGCCCUGCAGUACCUCACGCUCAUGCGCCCGGACAUAGCCUACACCGUCCAGCAGGUGUGCCUCGUCAUGCACUCGCCGCGCAUGCUACACGCCGCCCUCCUCAAAUGUAUCAUGCGUUAUCUGCGUGGUACCACCCACCUUGGCCUUCAUAUUCGUCUGUCUGCUUCAUCCCAGCUCAUGUCUUACACAGACGCCGACUGGGCCGGUUGUCCCGACACCGUACCUGACGCUCGAUGUCUGGCUACUACAUGUACAUCGGUGACAACCUCGUCUCCUGGUCUUCGAAGCGACAAACCACCUUGUCGCGAUCGAGUGCGGAGGCAGAGUACCGAGCUGUCGCCAACGCGGUCACGGAGUCGUGUUGGCUACGAAGCUUCUUCAGGAUAUCGGAUGGCCUCCAUGGUGCUACCACUGUUUACUGAGACAACGUAUCGGUGACUGAAGGAAAUAUGCCCUAGAGGCAAUAAUAAAGUUAUUAUUUAUUUCCUUAUAUCAUGAUAAAUGUUUAUUAUUCAUUCUAGAAUUGUAUUAACGGAAACAUAAUACAUGUGUGAAUACAUAGACAAACAGAGUGUCACUAGUAUGCCUCUACUUGACUAGCUCGUUGAUCAAAGAUGGUUAUGUUUCCUAACCAUAGACAUGAGUUGUCAUUUGAUUAACGGGAUCACAUCAUUAGGAGAAUGAUGUGAUUGACUUGACCCAUUCCGUUAGCAUAGCACUUGAUCGUUUAGUUUGUUGUUAUUGCUUUCUUCAUGACUUAUACAUGUUCCUAUGAUUAUGAGAUUAUGCAACUCCCGUUUACCAGAGGAACACUUUGUGUGCUACCAAACGUCACAACGUAACUGGGUGAUUAUAAAGGUGCUCUACAGGUGUCUCCGAAGGUACUUGUUGGGUUGGCGUAUUUCGAGAUUAGGAUUUGUCACUCCGAUUGUCGGAGAGGUAUCUCUAGGCCCUAUCGGUAAUGCACAUCACUUAAGCCUUGCAAGCAUUGCAACUAAUGAGUUAGUUGCGGGAUGAUGUUUUACGGAACGAGUAAAGAGACUUGCCGGUAACGAGAUUGAACUAGGUAUUGAGAUACCGACGAUCGAAUCUCGGACAAGUAACAUACCGAUGACAAAGGAAAUAACGUAUGUUGUUAUGCGGUCUGACCGAUAAAGAUCUUCGUAGAAUAUGUGGGAGCCAAUAUGAGCAUCCAGGUUCCGCUAUUGGUUAUUGACCGGAGACAUGUCUCGGUCAUGUCUACAUAGUUCUCGAACCUGUAGGGUCCGCACGCUUAAAGUUUCGGUGACGAUUGUAUUAUGAGUUUAUGUGAUUUGAUGUACCGAAGGUAGUUUGGAGUCCCGGAUGAGAUCGGGGACAUGACGAGGAGUCUCAAAAUGGUCGAGACGUAAAGAUCGAUAUAUUGGACGACUAUAUUCGGACAUCGGAAAGGUUCCGAGUGAUUCGGGUAUUUUCGGGAGUACCGGGAGUUACGGGAAUACGAGGAAGAAGUAAUGGGCCUCAUGGACCAAGUGGUGGAAGAGAGGAGGCAGGGCGCGCGGCCCUCCUAGCCCAAACCGAAUUGGACUAGGGGGCCGGCCCCCCUUUCCUCCUUUUCCUCCUUCUCCUUCCUUCUCCUUCUCCUCCUUCCUUUCCUCCUCCUAGUAGGAGUAGGAAAGGGGAGUCCUACUCCUACUAGGAGGAGGACUCCUCCUCCUGGCGCGCCCAUAGAGGGCCGGUCGGCCUCCCCCCUUGCUCCUUUAUAUACAGGGGCAGGGGGGCACCUCUAGACACACAAGUUGAUCUUCGUGAUCGUUCCUUAGCCGUGUGUGGUGCCCCCUUCCACCAUAUUCCACCUCGGUCAUAUCGUAGCGGUGCUUAGGCGAAGCCCUGCGUCAGUAGAACAUCAUCACCGUCAUCACGCCGUCGUGCUGACGAAACUCUCCCUCAACACUCGGCUGGAUCGGAGCUCGAGGGACGUCACCGAGUUGAACGUGUGAGAACUCGGAGGUGCCGUACGUUCGGUACUUGGAUCGGUCGGAUCGGGAAGACGUACGACUACUUCCUCUACGUUGUGUCAACACUUCCGUUGCUGGUCUACGAGGGUACGUAGACGACACUCUCCCCUCUUAUUGCUAUGCAUCACCAUGUUCUUGCGUGUGCGUAGGAAAUUUUUUGAAAUUACUACGUUAUCCAACAAUGACGUACCUCUCCACCAACCCGGUACAACACCAACGCACCAAGCACGUGGAGAUUGAUCUUCAUUUCGUGCGCGACCGCGUUGUCUUCGGAGAUGUUCGUGUUCUGCAUGUUCCGGCAACCUCCCAGUUUGCCGACGUUUUCACCAAGGGGAUACCAACCGGCGUCUUGACAGAGUUCCGGUCCAGCCUCAAUGUCGUCGAAGACCCCGUUGCGGCUGUGGGGGGCUGCUGGAAUUGUAAAACGCCUCCUGCAUGUACAUUACCGGGUCCCUCGGCUGGACAGAUCGGCUCGCGCAAGUAGCAUGGGACACCUGCGUCUGUUACACACGAUCCCCUUCUCCGUUGCUUGUAGCUGCUGUACCUAGGCGUAUAUAUAUAACUCUGUACAAUCUGGAAUAGACACGGUGAAGAUCACCUUUCAACUGUUCGCACUGUGCGGCCAAACCUUGUUUGGCUGGGACUGACAAAUGAAAAUGAUGCACCCGAGCACAUCCAGAAGGAUCUGAACGCUCGCAGUCCAAACCAGCUUAUCGGCAUUGGUACAGAGUUGAGGCAAAACCGAGCAGUGAAGCAAGCUCCAGCAUUUUCAACAUGAAGGAAACGAAAAAGACGAAACAGGCUCCAACAUUCUCGUCAAAAAAGAUAAGAAAAGGAAAAAAGAAACAGGCUCCAGCAUUCUUGACACAAAAGAAAUGAAGAAGGAAAACGAAACAGGCUCAGGCAUUCUUGACACAAAAGAAAAGAAAAAGGAAAAGGAGAAAGGCUCCAAUAUUCUUGACAAAAUAGAGAAGCAAAAGAAAAAGGAAUCAGGCACAAGCAUCCUCGACACAGAAGAAAAGAAAAGGGAAAAGGAAAUUGGAUCCAGCAUUCUCGAUAAAAAGGAAGAGAAACAGGAAACAGGUUCAACCAUUCUCGACAAAAAGGAAAAGAAAAAGAAAACAGGCUCCGACAUUUUGGACAAAAGAGAAAAGAACAAGGAAACGAAAACAGGCUCCAGCAUUGAUCUCGACAAGAAAGAAAAGAAAAAAAUUUGAAAAGCAAGCUCCGUCAGAACGGUAACAGUAGCACCAAUGCUAAAGAAGAGCAAAUUGAACAGUAGCACCAAGGUGAAGGAAGCUCAAGACCGAUGAGAUGUCCUGGUUUCUAUAUAUCCAAUUAAUAUACCAUAUUUUAAUUAUUGUAACAAUAUGAUUGUAUUUUUUGUGAUGUAAUGAGUCGUUUGAUUCGAACCUCUGUUUGUUCAGUUUCUGCUUGCUGCUGUUGUAAUCACAAACCGUCAUGUCAAAUAAAUGGAGUGAAUAGCAAAAAACUACCAUAUUACGGGCUAUCGUUCCGGAAAACUAUCGCUUGUUUUAAUUUUUCAAAAAACUACCACAAAAGUGGCUGGCUGUUCCAAAAAACCCAAGUGGCCGAACGGUUAAGUUUUAACUGGGGUUAUGACAUGUGGGGCCCGCCCGUCAGGGUUUUGUCGGCCACAGUGCUCACGGCGCGCGGGUGACGGCCGUUAGGGCGCACGGCCCGUCCCGACGAGGUCAAAAUGGAUCCGGCCCUCACUCUGUCUCCCUCUCGCUCACUCACUCUCUCCCCCCUCACUCUCACUCUCCCCCCUCGCUCUGUUUCCCCUGGCCGAGCUCUCCAUCGUCGCUGACCACCUCAGUUCCUCGUCGCCGGCCAGGAUGCCUUCUUGGAAUGAUGGGGAUGAGAGCUCCGACGAUAGCAUGGGGGGCAACCUGAUGGACAUGGAGUACUUUGUAAGCCUCAUCGUCCUCCUCUCUGUCAUUAUCUAGGGUUAGGGUUGAAUCGAUUUGGGAAUGAGGGUUGAUGAGCUGUAUAUUUGUAUGCAUGGAUUCAUUUGGUUUGGUUAUCUAUUAGUUUUGAUCUAGGGUAUGGAUGGCACUGUGAUGUCUGAUCUGACCUUGAGCAAGGCAAAGCUUGACUCAAGUUGAACUAGUUGAUGCAUUGGUUCUGAUCUACCUUUUACUGCAUGUAGGACACACCUGACACCAUCCCUGAGCCACUCUGGUGUGGUGCUCCCAUGGAGGAAGUUGCCAAGUGUACUCUGCAUGAUAUGAAGCCUAGGAAGUGUGUUGCUUUUGAAGGUGCUAAGACUGGGAGGAGGUUCUAUGGAUGCCCUGUUCAGGUGAGUAAUUGAGUAUCCUGGGUGGAUUCAGUUAUGCCUAGUGGAUUCAGUUAUUCCUAGUGGUUACUGAAUUUGUACAUUAACUCUAUUUGAACUGAAUUUAGUACUGAAUUUAUGGUUACAUGUCCUCCUUGUGUACCAACCCUCUUUUUGAAUUGAAGUUAGAACUGAAUUUCUGCAUUUUCUGAAGUAUGUGUUCUCUGAUCAAACUACAGGGAGGUGUGAAUUGUGGUGUAGUUCAGUGGGUUGAUCCUGCCUGGCCUGAUGUACUUAAGAACUGCCUCAUCAAGUUGUGGGAAAUGUUCCAUGAGCAAAACCUUGGAAGGUUUCAAGACAAGCAUGCAUAUGAGGAUGAGGUUGCCAAGUUGAAGAAGGACUAUGAUCUGCUCUGCACUGAGUAUCAUAAAAUGGUUGAUGAUGUUAGCAAGAUGUUUGACUGGCAUGAUGGUGUUGGCAAGAUUGACUACCAAAAAGCAAUGGAUGCUGGGAAAUUUGAGAAGCAGAAGGAAGAGCUAGAGCUGGAGAUGAAGAUGGAGAAGCUAAGGCUAGCAAAAGAACAGAGGUGUAUCCUUCAGGCCCAGGCAGACAUAAUUCACAACACCAGGAAGGCAAUGAAAGAGAUAAAGGUGGACAGGGAUCUUUUUGCACAAGAGAAGACAAAGCUUGAGAAAGUAGUUGCUGAUCUGCUAAAUGCUGGCCAUGGGAGCAAGGAAAAGCUUGAGAAAAUCAAGGCCAUACUGGAGGCUUGAAGAUUUGGACAAUGGUGGUUAAGUAAGUAAGGUGGCCUACACAUAUAACAGGCCUUGCAAGAUGAUGGUAGGAGUAUAUUUUGUGCAGUCCUAUAUGAACUAUUUAAGUUAUGGUAACUAGAGUGGUGGAGAACCUUUGCUAAGUCUGGCUUAUGUUAUUGUACUGUUAAGAACCUAUCUAUCUUAAGUAAUGCAGUGAAGAACUGUUUUAUUUCUUUAGGUUGUUUUCCUGAAAGUAGCAAUGCUGAACUAGUAUAUUUUUGGGCCUAAAACCAUUAUGUACACAUUGUGGGCCUAGACUGGGCUGUUUUAUUACUCCACCUACCUACCACCAACCAUUAGUAGUCUAUAAAGCCCACCCCUUGAGUGAAACCGCAGUCAAUCCCCCCAUCCCCACCCUUCUCAACCCCCCAGCCGCCAAAGAAACCCUAGAAUCCAAGGGAGAGAUGGAUCCUGGAGAGGUCAUAGAUGGAGAAGAAGAGGUGCCCAGACAAGCCAGGCGCAGAGAUGCAAGGAGGAGGGCGAGAAGGCAACUUGCUGAGAUGAUCCUUGCAACACGCAACCGCAAGGACAUAAAGCAGUUCCUGGAGGCAUUCCCCCCUGGUUCCAACCCUAGUGAUGAUGAUAUCAUCUACUGGGCAAGGAGGAGGGCAAAUUUCCAUCCCUUUUAGGUCACUAGGCAAAGGUGGACUAGGAUUUUGUACCCAUGAUGCUGCUGUUAUGUUUCUUUGUUCCUAGAUCUGUCUUUCUAUCUAUGUGAUGUUUGAAGUUGGUGUAAGAACAAUGUUGAAUGAGCUAUGUAUGUGACGAAUCAAGUUGUCCAUGAUGCAAUGCAAUGUAUGAAGCUGGUGAAAGAAAAAUGUUGAAUGAUCUAUCUAUGUGAUGAAUCAAUCUGUCUAUGAUGCAAUUUAUGAGUGAAUCUUUUAUCUAUAUUUGUAUGUAUGAAUGAAUUGAUCUGGUGAUCUUGAUGUUUUAAGUUAGAUAUGUUAUGGUUUGUUCAGAUGGCCAUAUCUUGUUGUUUUAGGUUUGAUCUCUUAGGGUUUGGUGCCUAGAUGGGAAAAUCUUGAUGUUUUAGCUUUGAUAUGUUAGGUUUUGGUCCUAGAUAGCCACUUUGGGGUUGGUCAACAAGUAGCCACCCAAAGUGGCCAAAUUUGGGUGGCUUUAGGGUUGGUCGACAAGUUCCACCCCAAAGUGGCCAAAUGUGGCCACUUUGGGGUUGGUCGACAAGUAGCCCCCCAAAGUGACCAAAUUGACCUAAUCAUAUCAAUCAAUUAUCAACAAAAUAAAUCACUUGAUCUACAUAACAAUGCUCAGCAUAAGAAAUAAUUUCAUAUGAAACAAUUCAUAACCUAGGACAUAUCAAAUCAAAAUAAAGCUUGACAACAGAUAACUUAAUUGUUCCAAGCAGUUCAAACACAGACCAUAUAACUUAAUUGUUCCAAGCAGUUCAUACAUAGACCACAUAACUUAAUUGUUCAAAUGAAAAAAAAGUUCACUGCAAAUAACACAGAUAGCAAGCAUGCCUAGCAAGUAGAGUUCAAGGCAUAAAGCAUAGUUGAGUGCAACACAUUCAAUGGUUGCCACUGGCUGUGAAAUACAAAGCAAGUUUGCUUGGGGCCUUCCUCUUCCUCUUAGAACCAACAUCAGCUUGACCUGAUGUUGAUGCUGCCCUUGGAGCAUUGAAACCUCUUGCACUUGACCUGGUGUUCUUUACUGGAGAUGAUGCACUUGACCUGGUGUUGUUGGCUGGUGCUGAAGCAGGUGGUGGGUUCUUUCUCUUUCUUGAUCCACCUGUUGAAACUGCAGUAGAUGUGGUUGCCCUUGUUGUAGCAGAUGUGGUUGACCUUGUUGAAGUUGUUGCUAGUUUCCUGCCCCUAAGUGGUCCUAAAGCUGGAGCUGGACCUGAAGCUGGAGCUGGACUUGAAGCUGGAGCUGGACCUGAUGAUGUGGCCUGGUGGUUGUUUUUCCUUGUCAUAAACUUGGCCUUAAGUCCGUCUCCAUAGAUUGUCCACCUGUGGCCUUGCAGACCACAGUUACUGCAUGUUAUUGUGCCCAUCCUUGAUGUAUCCUUUGGAGCUGGCACCUCAAAUUCACCCUUUCUCCUAGCUGUCUGCUUCUUGCCUUUCUUCUCCCUGAAAACUGGUGGUUCUAUGUCUGGUGUGUUGGUGUUGGGCCAGAAUUCAGGGCCAGGGACAGGGUAGAUGAUGUGCUGGUAUGCAGCCUUAUACAUUGGCUUCUUAAAGAAUGGAUGCACAUAAUCUUCUGGGUGAACUUUUAUCUUCUGCAUUGCAGAUAUUGCAUGGUGGCAAGGUGAUCCAGUCAUGUCCCACCUCCUGCAAGAGCAGCUCCCUACAUCAAGCUUCACACAAUAUGUGUUCUCUCCACUAGUUACUUGCCAGAUGUUGGGACCAGCCAUGUUUGCUUCACAGUAUUUAGCCCACUUCUUGCUCUCCUCAAGCUUCUCCAUGUAAUCUGGGGUUAUUUCCCACCUACAGCUCUCUGUUUUCUCUCUGAUGCCCUGGUACUUAACCAUUAGUUUGGUCCUCAACCCUUCAAACAUGGUCUUAAUUAGUUUUGACCUAACAUCUAGAAUCAUUUUUUUGAAAACCUCACUAAGGUUGUUCACUACCAAGUCAGUCUUGCACACAUGAUCCAUUGCAUAUCUAGCCCAACACUCCUUAGGGAUGCCAUUCAACCACAUGUAGGCUGGUUCACAUGCUGCUUUCAAACCUGCCAUUCCUUCUUUGUGACCAUGUUUAGUGAAGGAAUAGCUAGCUUUGUCAACCCAUUUCUUAAGUUCUUCUGCUCUAAAGCCAGCUGACUGGAAGUUGGCAUAUAUGUGUCUUAGGCAAUAUCUUUGUGGGGAUUGAGGAAAUACUUCAUUAAUUGCUUUAAGAAGGCCCUGUUGUUUGAUUACAUAAGGUAGUAAUGAGAUAACUAUAGCAGCAUUGCUAUGUGCAUAAGAAUAAUACAGAGCCAGAGAAAAUACCUUCUGCCUGUCAGACAUGAUGGUGUAGUUUCCAAACUGGUUGCUGGUGCCAAUGCAGACUCUAAGUUGGUUUAAAAACCAGGUCCAGCUAGGCCCAUCCUCUUUGUCAACCACCCCAAAAGCAAUUGGGAACACAUUGUUGUUCCCAUCUCUCCCAGUUGCUACCAAUAUCUGUUGGCCUGUGGAUAACUUGAUGAAGCAACCAUCAAGUCUUGCAUAAACAGAGAUAGUUAGGGCAAAAUUGAAUAACUUGAUUACAUUUGUAACAUGAUUAAAUCACUGAUUUGUACCUAUGAAAGGCCUACAACCAGCAAGAAAUCCAUCUUUUGAUGCCUGGAGGCAAUAGAACAUGUACUUGAACCUUGGUGUGGGGGCUGGGUUCAAAGGAUCCUCAAAAGUUGUCACUAUGCACCUGCUUCCAGGGUUUGUGUCAAGCACACAUUGUAGGUAGUCCCUCAACCUCAGAUACUGCUUUCUAUGAUCACCUUGCACAACAUCAACAGCCAUCAGUCUUGCCCUAUAUGCCAAACUCCUAGGUACAUGCACCCCAAACUUCUUCUUAGUAUGUUUGAGAACUGUCUCUACAUCAGCCUUUACAUUUGAUCUAACUGUGUCCUCCACAGCUUCUGCAACCCAUUCAGCAGUAACCUUUGUACUCUCUCCACAAGCUCCACAACUAUGAUCCAUGUGGCACUUCUUGAUUGUGAAUGUAUCUUCAUGGGCUACUUUGGAUGCAGUCAUGAAAAAAUCACAUCCAUUCUUCCUCUCUGGGCACCAAACAAUAACCCUUGAUGGUUCAUUCCUAUGGUACUGAAAGUUUCUCAAAGUCCUAACAUGAAAAUUUCUCAAUGCCUUUCUAAACUCAUACACAUUGGUGAAGCAAAGGUCCUUGCACAGCUGCUCAUGUGCAUCAGGUACCUUUGGGUCAUACCAUUUCCUCUCUUUCUUCUUCUUCAAUCUUCUCUUCCUUCCAGAAGGUAGUCUUGGAGUCUCCCCAUCUGAGUCAGAAAUGCCCAUAUCACCAGGGAAGCAAUACUCAUCAGCUUCAAGUACAAAAUCUUGAAACUUUGGGAUCUCUGGCUGACUGUGAGCUCUGGAAGUUGGACCUGGAUUUGCUACUGCUCUUCUCACAGGCUUGAGUUUCUCAGGCCUGCAUUUUUCCACAACUAUUUCCUCUCCACUGUCUGCCUCUUUCUCCUCCUGCCAAAACUCUGAAACAUCACUGUCACCUUCAAACUGUGGUCUGUCUUCUAUAGCAUCUCUUUCUUCUUCAUUUCCAAUAUUUUCUUCACCUCUCUUCCAAGCCUUGUAAGACAUCUUUAUCCCUCUAUAGUCACCCCUAUCAAUCUCAAAGUCUGAGGAUGAUUUGUCAAUAUCAUCAUCCUCUUGACCAGCAGCCUGUCCAUCAUCAUCUCCACCAUUAGCUUCUGAAAUGUUGAAGUUACAGCUUUGCUGUGUGUUCAAAUUAACUUCAAGAGGGUGGACCACUCCAUCUUGUGACAGACUUAACACAAAACCAGGACCCCCCAGUGGGUUGCCUAUUGGAAUUUGUUCUUCACAAACAUUGUGAGCCCUGUUACAUUCAACAUCUCUAUCUUCAUUUGCCUUGGAAACAAUGAUAUUGAGCACUGUGAAAUCUAAGUGGUCUAUCAUUUCUUCAACUGCAUCUUGACUGUCCAAAAGAAAUAAACCUUCCUGUCCAAUCCCUUGUUCUUUUACCCAGUACAUGUAGUCAUCUGACCCAUAGCCUUCAGUCUCAGUAAGUGCUAUCAAGUUCAGAAAUGUGAUGUCUGAAACAGAAAACCUCCUUUCCAUAUUAUCUCUGCCCUGGAAAUGCAGCCUAACAUCCCAAACUUCAUCAUCUAGCCUGCAUUACAUAAUAUGUUAUUUGAAAAGCCCAACUAAGUAAGUGUUUUUGCUACAAAUAUUCAGUGCACACUACUAUAAAGUACAGUAAGGAAUCUGAAUCCAAAAAAUGCUUCUCUGAAUCCACCAUGCAUUUCUACUAAAUCUAACUAAUCCUUCAGUGCUAAGUGAUACUGUUGCAUCCAAAACAUGCCACAGAGUGUUUGCUCAACUAUUAUUCAGUGCAUGUUCAUGUUCUAAGAUGAAUCACAGCAGCAUCAACCUAGGGUUUGGUCAAAAAACUAACUAAAUUAUGCUAUGUUAUUUGAAAUGAACAAGCAGAAAUGCAGAAACUGUUGAAGGAGCUCAUAAGAGGAAAAAAACUUACUCCACCCCUCCAAAUGCAGAGGCCCAGUGCUGGGAGUUGGCCGGAUCUGCCUGCACAGCCCUAUCAAGAGACCUCGCUGCUCUGUACUCAAGCGAGAACUGGCAAUCAUCAGGCGACGGUGGUGUAGCCUGUGUCGUAGGAGCCUGCAUCAGAGCUGCAGCCUGUGGUGUCCGCUGCGGCGGCGGCGGCGCCGCCGGCUAGGUUGCGAAGCUACCACUCCCCAGCCAGUUAUCAACCUCUAAGAACUCGCCGCCUCCAUCCCCCCUUCCACCUCCACCCGUUGAAUGGCCGCCAUCGCCUAGUUUCGCCGCCGCCGCCGCCAUCGGAGAGGGAGGCGCGCACAAGAGAGAGGGAGACAGAGAGGGGGAAGACAGAGUGAGGGCGGGCCGGAUCCAUUUGACUUGGUCGGGACGGCCCGUGUGCCCUAACGGCCGUCACCCGCGCGCCGUGAGCACUGUGGCCGACAAAACCCUGACGGGCGGGCCCCACAUGUCAUAACCCCAGUUAAAACUUAACCGUUCGGCCACUUGGGUUUUUUGGAACAGCCAGCCACUUUUGUGGUAGUUUUUUGAAAAAUUAAAAAAAGCGGUAGUUUUCCGGAACGAUAGCCUGUAAUGUGGUAGUUUUUUGCUAUUUACUCCAAAUAAAUGCUUAAAAAGAGUGCAUCUAAUGGAGUAGUACAAAAUGGUAAAGAAAAUAAAUCAGCCACUAAUGGAGUAACAAAGGUGAUAGCACGGAGUUUGGUAGGCACCGACAAUGAGUAAGCAGGCUGAGGCCACCGGUGCACGAAGAGGAUCAGAAGCGCUGGUUGGGGCUGUGGUUUGGGGCGGCUGCGAUGAAACUUCUUAUUCAACGCUUAUAGCACCGUUUACAGUGUUAUCGGUACCUUUUUUUUGAGGGAAAGAGCCAACUUUAUUAAUCAAAAUCCACAGUGCGUGGGACACAACGAUGGUCAUGGGGCUGGCCAAGCCACACAUGACGCCCUGGUGGUAGCGAUAAAGAAAACCUAGCUAUCUCGUGAGCUUCAGCAUUCUGAGCUCGACUCUCAAAGGUGAAAUUACAUAAAAGUGGUGAUGAGCUCAUCUUUAUCUCUCUGAUUAUAGCUCCAUAAGUGCCAUGACUACCCAUAGCAAUGUCGCCAAUGACUUGUUUGCAGUCCGAAGCCACCACAAAACGUUGCACAUUAAGAUCUUGUGCUAGGGAAAUAGCCUCCCGACAUGCUAUGGCCUCCAGUGUCGCGGGGUCGCAAACUCCGACAAUGACAAGUGAUGAGCUCCCCAUAUAGACACCCUGGCUGUCACUGCAUAUGGCCGCGGCCGUGCCACCCCUCUGAAAUCUUACUGCCACGUCAACAUGAACCUUAGCAUAGCCAGCAGGUGGAGCCUUCAGCCUCUGAGUAGAAGCGUGGCCAGUAGCUGCAGAACGUACGUUGAUCUUUGCAGGGAGUGAGGCAGUAGCCAAAUCAGCCAUGAAGCGAGUUAUAAACUCCUUCGUCGCCCUGGGUGAUUGGAAUAUUGAUUCAUGGAUAGCUUUUCUCCUCGAGGUCCAGAUCGCCCAUAAGGUGACCGCCAGCAGAGUGAACUUCUCAUGUGUUAGCAUAUCCAUUAAUCCAAAGAGCCAGCUCUUCGCCCUCGUCUCCGUUGAUGCGACCAGACUGCAGCCCAAGUCCUCAUCUACCAACGCCCAUAUGCAUCUGGAGACUGUGCACUCCAGGAGGGAAUGACUCCAUGAAUCAGGAGAACCGCAGAGGCCGCACGAGCUAGUCGUUGACAUAUUACGAUGGGCCCUCACAUCCUCCGUCGGUAGUGACUGUUUUGAUAAACGCCAUAGAAACAUGCGUACUUUUGCUGGUACCACAGUUUUCCAGAGGGACUUCCAAGAGGCUUCAUCGACAUGGUUGCUGGAUGAUGCGCCGGAGCCCUCUAGCCACGCCUCUCGCCGUUGCUUCAUAGAUACCAACAUAUUAUAGGCUGACCUGACUGUGAAUUGUCCGGUUCUCUCGUGCAUCCAGCUCCAAAAGUCCUGCAUAGGAGCCGUACACAACGGGAUACCCAUGAUGAUUUUAGCAUCGAAAGGCAAGAAAGUUGCUUCCACCACAGAUCUCUUCCAUGAAGCAUUAGUUGCAUCGAUCAGUUCAGAUACUGUGUUGGGAGGAUUACUUACGCAACAACCAUACGGUCUCAUCAUCUCUGACCGGGGAAGCCAGUUUUCGGUCCAAAUGCUGGUGCUCGCCCCAUCUCCUAUCCGCUUGAUCAGUCCCAAUUUAAGAAUAUCCCGGCCUUCCACUAUGGCUCUCCAUAUCUGACUUGGAUGGUUCCCAAGUGUUGCCUCAAGUAUAGAUGUAUGUGGAAAAUAUACGCUCUUCAGAAUCCGUGCACUCAGAGACUCGGGGUCUUGUAACAUUCUCCAUGCCUGCCUGGCUAACAUGGCAAGAUUGAAAAGCUCAAAAUCUUUGAAUCCAAGGCCUCCCAUGCUUUUUGGUUGUGUCAUUGCUUCCCAAGAGACCCAGUGAGGUUUGCGUUGGCCGUUUGAGCUCCCCCACCAAAAUUUCCUUAUUAGCAUAUUGAGGUGCUCACAUAACCCCCUAGGUAGUUUGAAACAAGACAUGGAAAAUACCGGCACUGACUGGGCAACAGAUUUGACUAGUACCUCUUUUCCUGCCGCCGACAAAGUUCUCUCUAUCCAUCCCUGAAUUUUGCUCCAUAAUCUGUCCUUCAAAUAUUUGAAGGCACCGUUUUUUGAACUCCCUAUAUCAGAUGGCAUGCCCAGAUACUUCUCAUUCAAGGUUUCCUUGGGGACAUUGAACAUACCUUUUAUAGCAUUGCGAGUUUCCUCAGAAACGCCUUUACUAAAGAAAAUUGAGGAUUUGUUGUAGUUGAUUCUUUGACCUGAAGCUUGGCUAUAAAUUUCCAACAACUGGUUAACCUCUGUAGCACCCGCACUGUUGGCCUUGAAGAACAGCAGGCUGUCAUCAGCGAAUAGAAGAUGGUUAACUAGUGGUGCCUGCAGCGCCACCUGAAUCCCACCCAAGUUUGAUGACUCACUUUGUGAUUUGAAAAGGCACGACAUGCCCUCUGCUGCUAACAAGAACAAGUACGGUGAUAUUGGGUCACCUUGUCGGAUUCCACGUGAUGGGUUGAACUCCUCAAGUUUCUUUCCAUUGAACAUGACUGCGAAUUUUACUGAGGUAACCAUGCCCAUUACAAUAUCCACCCACCUUCUGUUAAAACCCAAUAUAAUCAUGAUGGCUUAGAGAUAAGCCCAUUCAACUCGAUCAUACGCCUUCAUCAUAUCCAAUUUCAGAGCACAUGAGUGAUUUUUCUUUUCCUUGUUCCUCUUCAUGAAAUGCAAUCACUCAUAUGCCGUUAUUAUGUUGUCUGUGAUCAAUCUCCCCGGAACAAAGGCUGAUUGUUCAGCAGAAAUUAUAUCUGGCAGUAUCUGUUUGAGUCUGUUGGAGAUUACCUUGGACGCUAUUUUAUAGAGCACGUUACAUAAACUUAUGGGCCGAAACUGGGCAAGGAGUGUGGGGUUUUUGACCUUGGGGAUGAGAACCAGCACCGUAUUGUUAAUGCAUGCUGCUGACUCUGUCCCGUCCACAAUUUUGAGUACCACUUUCGUUACAUCUGCACCGCAUACAUCCCAGUGGCGCUGAAAGAAGUGAGCGGGGAAUCCAUCCGGGCCAGGGGCUUUGAUUGGAAACAUUUGGAACAACACACUUUUCACUUCAUCGUGUGUGUAAGGAGCAUUCAGACGAUCGUUCAUUGCCUGCGUUACUUUAGUAGAUACUGACUCCAGUACCCUAUCCAUGCCCUGUACUCCCUCGGUUGUGUAUAAGUUUUUGUAAAAUUCGGUGGUAAGCUCCUCCAUCUCCUCCCUGUCCUCGGUCAGCUAUCCAUCCGAUCGCUGCAACAAUUUUAUCUGGUUCUUCCGGCGGCGGCGGCUCGCUCGCAGGUGAAAAGAAUAAGUGUUUUUGUCACCAUGGACCAGCCAAUCCAGUCGAGCGCGUUGGCGCCACAUCAAUUCCUCUCUAUCAAACAGUUCGACCAGUCUGUCAGCUAUCUUGGUUUCAGUGUUUGUCGGUCCCGUCCGUCCUGGCGCUGAACGCAUGACCUCAAGCUGGCGUUGGAGUUGGCGAAUCUCCAUACGCACCGAUCCGAAGUUGUUGCGGUCCCACGCUGACAAAUCUCCCGCCAGGUUCCCUAGUUUUGCAUGUAUGCCCUCAACCGAUUCUCCAUCCUGCAGACUCCAGCUAUCACGCACAGUGUCAAACAGUGUUUCGUCCCUUUCCCACAUCGUCUCAUAUUUAAAAGCCUUGUGGCCCAUUUUGCAUGCAUGCAACUCACGUAGCUGAAGAAGAAUAGGAAUGUGAUCUGAACUAGCAGCACUUUUGUGCGAUAGCUGUGAUGAUGCGAGGGCGAGAGUCCAUUCUGUAUUUACCAGGCACCUGUCCAGCCUAACCUGGGUGUAGGUGCCUCCUGUGACCCUUUUUUCAAAUGUCCAACUAGUGCCAGAGUAUCCAAUAUCUGAUAACCCACAUGUAUCAACUGCUUCCCUGAAUGCUUCUAUUUGGGCUUGGCUUCGUUGUCCCACACCAUCAUGUUCAUGGCUGUGAAGAACCUCAUUAAAAUCUUCCAUGACUGCCCACGGUCUGUUCUGCGUCUCAGCAAUACCGCGCAGGGUGUCCCAUGUUUUGUAUCUCUCUGGUACCUGGGCUUCGCCAUAGACAAAGGUAAUUCUUACCUGCAAAUCAACUAAGUCAUCAACAAGAAUAUCAAUGUGAUACUUUGAGUAAUCGAUAACUUCCACUUUUAUUUCAUCGUUCCAAAAAAUUCCAAGUCCACCACUUCUACCGGAACUACUAACUGCAAAGCUUUUAUUGUAGCCUAUGCUAUCAGCCAUACUCUCAACCCUCUUUCCCUCUAUUUGAGUUUCAAGAAUACAAACAAUAGAGGGGGCAAACUGCCUCGCUAGAUCGUGAAGCUCUCUAACUGUCGCGGCUUUGCCAAUCCCGCGAAAGUUCCAGCAAAGAAGACUCAUUGCGCUAGGCGCGGCCCCGCUUCGGAGCCCGCCACAUGCGCAUCAGGGUUUUUGGUAGAAACUGUGCUCUUCUCCAGAGCUGACUCAUUAGACGAGGUUGACUUCAAUCUUUUCAGAUCCUGCUUGGGAGGAGGGCUAAGGGGCACCGCAGGUGAUGGCAGAAACAGUUGCUUCGUCUGUUGUACCGAAUAGGUUGGGAACGUGGUUUUUGGAUCAUGUGCCCCUCUCUUCCUGUUGCGAUCAACCUCAGUCAUUGCUACAUCUCCGUCUCGCUGAUCACGUUCCUGGUGAUGUUGAUCAUCAAACGAGUCUGCACUAUUGGGCGAUCGUCCUCUUCCUCUUCCCCCACGGCCUCUGCCGCGACCUCUCCCUGCAUUGCUGCUCUCGCCUUGAUAUCUUUGAAGACCAGAGUCUUUGGGGCAUGAACCCCGUCCCCGCACUCUUUGUGUUGGUGACCUAGAUGUCCACAAACUGCACACCAGUCCGGCAGUCUUUCAUAUUUGACUCUAAAGAUGACUCGUUCCACCGAAUCCUUUUUCCUUAUUACCAGUGAAACAACGUUCUUCAAAGGUUUAGUGACAUCGAUCCUGACUCAAACUCUAGCAAAGUUACCUUCAAAAUCCGGGGAUCUAGGCUCUGCAUAUAUGAAUUCUCCCAUAGUAGCAGACAUAGCUUUGACCUUAGAAAAGAAGCCAUCGGGCAGGUCGUGAAUCUGGAUCCAAAUUUCCAAUUUGUUGAGCUCUAUAGACGACGGCUUUGUGAAGCCAUCAUACUCUGCCAGAACUACUGCUUUCCCCUUGAAAUUCCAGGGGCCAUCUCCCAUAACCCUCUCCCAGUCACCCAGGCACGAGAAUUGCAUUGAGUACAGAUUAUCUUCCAGUGGUCUGAUCUUUACCUCUUGAGCUAGGUCCCAGGCCACUCUCAUAUUCCUAUAAAACCAAUAUUGGCUGUAUGUUUUCUCCGUGUGAACCCUAGCCAACGCCAUCCAGCGUGUUUCUUCCUUCGGCAGCUCGGUGUCUUCCACCACAACAUCAAUCAGAUCAUCUUCUUUCAGUCCAAGUUCCUCCAUCAUCGCAGCCAGAUUGGACGCAGUUGUACUUGAUCCAGAUGCAGUCGAACUCAUCAUGCGCUCGCUCGAGGUUAGGGUUCCGCGAGCGGUAGGUCCCAAGGAGUCACCACCCGCCCAGAACGCCGCGGCGGCCGAAGGCCACAGCGAUCGCCGGAAGGGGGUUAACAUCCGGGGAGGAAAAGUCCCUACGGUGUCGGCGUCGCCGUCGCUCGAGGGAAGAGAAAAACCCUAACGAGAGGGGAAACUUAGGAGGGAGAUUAGUGUUAUCGGUACCUGCCGCCCACACUACUUUAGAUAGCUAAUUGUAACUGGGCUGGCCCAUAUGUGUGAGCCCUCCUCCAUUACCGGUUGUGAAGGAAUUUCCUAUUCAACGCUUAUACCAUUUGUUAUAGUGUUUUCCUUUUGUUACAGUGUUAUCCGGGGACCUCCUACUUGGUCACCUGCGCGCAAAGUAGGAGGGAACGUGCACCCUUGGCUCCCAUGUAAGAGUUUUUCCCGCCCUAUUUUUAUUAUUUCAUUUUUAUGCCUUUUGUUUUUUCAUUUCUGUUUGUGUUUUUCUUCUUUAAAUAAUGUGUGGUUAAAAAAAUUCCCAAUUUCAAAACAAUACCAAAAUUGUUUGACAAAUCAGGAAAUAUUUGUGAAUUAAAAAUUGUUGAUGACUCUUCACUUCAGUGUCUCGACCCACCGGAACAAAAGCCGUGUGUACAAAUUGUGUUCGAAGCUUAUCGUAAACUGGCUUAGCAAGUGUAGUCUUGCCAAGUCUGCCUGGUCCAACAAUUGAGACCAUCUUCAUCUUGUGCUGCUGUUGCUUGAGACCAUGUGUGAGCCUCUUGGUUAGCUUGUUCCAUGCAUCUUCAAUGCCAACGAGCUCUUUCUGAUCAUUGUACAAAGCCAAUACACGAGGGUCAACCUUCUGUUUGCUAGCUGGAUUAGGAACAUCAUUGACCCUGUAUCUGGCACGCCGGCCAGCCAUCUCUUGAGAGCGGUUCUUGAUGUACCUGAUUGCAUCUCCGAUCUGAUGGCGAGUCUUGCCUUUUGUGAACAAGUUGGCCAUCUUCCCUACCUAUCAUUUGAUCAUGUUUGAGUUGGGGACGGCAUCAGAUUCAUAUCCCUCGACGGACACUAGGAAGUUAUCGAUGACAUCCUCCAUGUCAUACGACAGCUCCCUUUUAGGGAUUCAUGUCCCUUGGAAUCUCCGCCACCUUUACGAGGGCAGCGUUCAAGCUCUUCAUGUCCCUCUGGAGGGACUCGACGUACCGAAUAAAUGGGAGUUAGAGGACAGGAAUCUGUUGUAGGAAAGACAAAGGAAAUUGUUCUCCAUCGCCGUCCGGUUCCACUGGGAAAAAAUUACAUCCACUGCAACACCAAGACCGCAUGCUUACCGAGUAGUAGUAGAAGCAGCAGAGCUGAGUAAGGCACCCACUACCGAAUGCAGGGAUAAAUCCAGCACCAAGUAAGCAGCUCACAAGUGAGAGACGGCAUGCGCUUUGCGAACGGAAGGACAGGAGCAGAAAACAUUUUGGGAGAAAGAUCGACGUGGCUCAGAAAAUUGAAGGCGGUCUACUCCUCCUGAUUGAAGCCGGCGACUACACAAGCGCCAUGGUUUGAUGGAGCAAGAGAAAUGGUGUUGAACCCCCAACUCGUUCCAUUUCUAGCAGAAAAGUAGGGCAAUAAUUGAGUGGUGGUAUGUUAUUAGUGCUGGUAAUGGAGUAGGAAGCACCCUAGAAGUGCACCAACUAGUACAUCAAAAUACUCCUGCCAGUGGCGGUGGUAGAUCAUUCAUGUGUACUACUCGAUCGUAACAAGAACAAUUACAUGAACCAGCUUGUGCCACUAGUAAUAAUAUUUAGCUUAUUUUUACAUUAAGUUUUGCAAUGAAUAAUAUUUAGGUUAUUAAAAAGACUAUAGUUUAAUGGAUGGCCCAGAUUUGGAAAUAUUACUGCAGAUUUUUGGUAGUAAUAGACUUGCUUCACUUGUCGAUUUAUAUGAUCUGUCGCUUUCAGCGACGUUUGGGGCUGUGAUUUGGGUUUGUUGUCAUUGAAAUUGCACAACUAUAGAAACUGGAUUCUUUUUUAUUAUUAUAGUGAGCACAAGGAAUCAUGUUACUAGUUGAAUUCAUAGAAAAAGACUCCAUUCAGACUCUGUCCUGCUCCAUGAAAAUAUCCUAUCAGAUAGACGCAGAGCGGUACAUAUACAGACUCAGGUUUCUUGAAAUCUAAUGCAACCAAGUCUUGUACAAUGGUCACAUGUUAUGUGACCUGAACCAAUUAUGGGUUUGCACUUGAUAAUUCCCGCACGAACCACAUGUAAACAUGGUUCGAAGGCUUGAAUAACAAUGUAAAAUUGAUGUCAAGUUUUCCCGACUUGAUUCCUGUCUAGGUUGGAGUCAUCAGUCUACUUGAAGCACUCGUUUUUCUCAUCUACGUUGGAGGACUGAUUGGAGCAUGAAUUAGUUGAGGAGAUAGAAACCCAUUUUUGGCGAGGGAGAGGACAGAAACCCAUGACACAACAAGGUUUUCAUGAUCAUCAUUGGCUAACUUCAAAGUUCCAACAGAGUGCCAACUACCAAGUGAGUAGCAGUACAAGGCACUGUUCAGCUGAAUCAAUCUUUACAACAUUAACCUAUCAUUCACUGGCGUUUCAUACCCAGAAUUGACUCUUAUAACAGUACAGAAGCAAACCCCUACUUCGAGUCAGUGUUGCUCUGUACUUUUUUUAACGGAGGUUAUAACUACGGCCUCUUUAUUUAUUAUUCAGCGGCCAUCUUUAUUUAUUAUUCCACCAAAGUCUAACAAAAACAUACAUCAAGCUACUCGAAGACAUCACUCACACCUACAAAACUCGAAAAUGUAGAGUGCUCUCACACUCCUCAUAUCUAAACCGGUAUCGUCGCUGAUCCAUCCACAUAACGUGUCGGAACGAACAGCCAGUGCAGCAGACCUAAAGCGCACACCACAUGCACAUGUUUUAGACGCCGCCAUCAUCUGCAGACCGCUGACCCAUCUUCAGGAGAGAGAUCCACAUCAUCCUUGCCAGUCCGUCCAUCCAGUCCCUCCCUCCUCUCGGCCUCCCUAUUAUCCCUCCUCACCCUCUGCUGCUGAUCUGUGGCGGCCUCUCCAAUAGCUCUGUGGCCUUCUUUCGCUGCCGCACCGGCCCGAGCGUUGUCGCUUGCAAGCCGUCCGGAGGCCACAAUGGCGCUCUCCCGUCGGGACUUUGCCACAUUCCAGCAUAUCAGUUGCUCUGUCAUGGGGAUCUGUCCUGCUCCUAGCCGUGUCUCCCGCGAUGGUGGUAGACCUGACUUGUACUACAAUGUUCUUUGGUCGCACGGCUGGCCACGGCGGUUUGCUCCGUUCCUUUGUAUCUAUGUUGCAGCUUCAAUUGUGUUAUGCAUGUCAUGGAUGUAUUAUAAUUCUGGGAUGCAUGUAAUUGUAUUGCUAUGAAUCUUAAAAUUGCUAGGUGUUCCAUGAACCAAUGAAUAUGCUAGAAAAUAUUACUCUGUCAUAUAUAUGUUAGAAAAUGUUCUCGUCGGGCCGGGUUUCUCUGCCCUAGAGAACAUAUUCUACAUGUUAUAUGCGACAAUGUAGUGAUGAAUAUUUCACCGGAAAUAGUGUAAAUGCAACCAACUCCCCCAUUAGGAGACAGAGUGGAAUAUUGUUUGACGAUAGACUUGGUUUAUGCAUAUUCGACGCACGUUUGAAUUUUUUCUCCCGAGCCACAAGAAAGCUCCUCGCGCGACCGCGUCCGUCCCUCAUGGGCGGCCGGCCGCGCUGUCCAUCCCUCCUUCCCAGCGCUCUCCCCCACCCUCUCUCUCCCCACCGUUGCCGGGGUGCAUCCCCGGGCUCGGCUCGGGCGGCGCCGGCGGUGCGGCCCACGGCUUUCCCCCCUGCGGCAGAUCCUGUGCGGGGCGGCGCUGCUUAAGGAGGUGCUCUCAGGUGGCGAUGGUUCGGCGCUGCGGUGGGCUGGUUCGCCGCUGACUUCGGUGGUCAGAGGCGGAGGAGCUCCGCGGCGGCGCGGGCUGGUGGCGCCCGUUCGGCCCAGAUCUGGGCCGAGGCGGGCCGGCAGCUCCGAUUUGUGGUGUAUCUUCCUGGAAGCGGCGGUGGGGUGUCUGGAUCCUGGGUGGUGGCGGCAUCGUUGCCGGAUUGUGCAGCGUGGCGGUGGAGUCUUUGCGGGAUCGAUCUGAGCCCGGCUAGGCCCGGGUGGCCUGGUUUGCCUCCCGCCUCGGCGUCCGGCUGGCUACCGCGAUGGCGUUGGAGGAACUGGCCUCUGGCGCGGCGUCGGUGGAGGUUGUCCCCUCCCGCUUGGCUGCGGUGCUGCCACCCCCGGCUCCAUGCGUUCUCAUUUUCCGUCCUCUAGGCCUCGCGGUGGUGGCCUUAGUGAGACGGCGUGGGUGGCCUCAAGACCGCGGUGGCGAAGGAGGGUGGGUGGCGUGUUGGGUGGAAGACUCCGGAGCGAUUGGGUAGUGUGCACAAGUGUUAGAAUCCUAAAAGGUAAAUAGUUUCUUAAGAUCUGAAGCAAGUGUUGGAAGAUUCUGCUGCCUCUAGAUACACAACAAAUGUCCACAUGUUGCUUCUUGGAGAAGCCGAGAGAGCCUUGAGCGGAGUGUUUAACCUUAUGUAUGAUAUUCUUAACUACCAUUUGUAUUAAAUGAACCAAUAAACAUUUUAUGUUAAUUGUCUUGACAAAUUUUGCUGUGUGCAGACUUACAUAUUAGUGGCACUACACAAAAAAAGAUGGCUAAGGGGUUUAUGAAGUAGGAUAGAGAUUGGUGAGAAAAUAUGUGCCCUCUCUCUCGUUUGUAAAGAGGUUCAAAUGUUAUGUGUGUAGCUUUUGCUAGUAUUCUCGAAUCGUUGGCCGUGAAUUGUCAAUUGUGUAAAUGUACAUGUGAAUUGUCUUAUGAAAAACAAUGUGCAACUGAGUGAUUAUGCCUGUGUAUUGUGUUCAUGUCUUUCUGUAAAUUUCGUUUGCAUUGCUGGUAACAUACUGAAAUGAAGUGCAUGCAUGCAAUGGUGAAAUGAAUCGGUACGAUCGACUGGCUGGCGGUCCAAACUAGUACACUAUCACUGACCGGUUAGAUUGCGGGUCUAUGAUGAGCAAGUCAUCACAAACCCUGAUCCACUGACAGACCAGCAACUAGUUAGUGAUGAUGAAAUUUGGCCGGUAAGUGUUAUUCGGAUUUGUAGUANNNNNNNNNNNNNNNNNNNNNNNNNNNNNNNNNNNNNNNNNNNNNNNNNNNNNNNNNNNNNNNNNNNNNNNNNNNNNNNNNNNNNNNNNNNNNNNNNNNNNNNNNNNNNNNNNNNNNNNNNNNNNNNNNNNNNNNNNNNNNNNNNNNNNNNNNNNNNNNNNNNNNNNNNNNNNNNNNNNNNNNNNNNNNNNNNNNNNNNNNNNNNNNNNNNNNNNNNNNNNNNNNNNNNNNNNNNNNNNNNNNNNNNNNNNNNNNNNNNNNNNNNNNNNNNNNNNNNNNNNNNNNNNNNNNNNNNNNNNNNNNNNNNNNNNNNNNNNNNNNCUCGGGUUUCUGCCCCUUUAUGAUAUAUGAGAAAACUGAACGAUUCAGGUGAAACUAGUCAUGAUAAUAAUUAGCAAUUCUAGUAUUUUAACACACAUAUCCCAAUCACUAUAGUUUUUUCAAACGACUAUUUUAACAACGCAUCUACGAUUCAUAGUAAAAUGUGACAUUGUAUACUGUAAAAUUUCUACAAUCUACAAGGUCAAAUUUAUUGUAAAUGUGACCACAACACCAGAUACACUAGAAAUAAAGUAAAACCCUAAAAGUCCCAUGCUAGCUAGACUACUCUUGGUUGGCUAGAAAUUAGGAGGGAGUACCCAGAUGCCAGUUUGAGCACGAGCUGCUACAUAAGAUCCCGCUGAUUUGAUCCUCUGUGUGACAUUGUCGCUACUUUCAUCUUGCAUAGGAUAUACACGGUUACCAUUGCCAUCAAAACUUGCCAAGUAUGUCAUAUCAUCAGCGUAGAUGUGGUUUCUCUGCACCCUGUCGCGCCCAACCACCGGCACGUCAACCGCCCUGGACAUUUUCCCCAAAAAUAAGGCGGAGUCACCCAAGGUCCUUACUUCCUCCCACUUACGAGCAUACUUUGUCAUCGAGUCAUCAUCCAACACAUAAACCUUGAAGAAAGGCUCAGGGCCGGUGUGGUAUGAUGGGAAUUUCCCCAGUACCAUCGCUAGCUUCCCUUGCAGCUCAACAAUGUGAGUCGACCAUGUGAAAGGUUCACUAACAAUCUUGAUAUGCAACUCGGCGUCAAUGGCGAGCAGAGGCCUGCCAUAUUUGUUCGCGCCUAUGUUGAAUUUGAUCAGGUCAUUGGAGAAUAUUAUAUUAAUGUCAAUUUAAUAUUAUACUAUGUGUCGUCAAUUUAAAAGGCUCCUGCCGUCAUGCCUUUGAGUAUUAUAUUAAUGUCAAAUUGUUUAAAUGCUAGUAAUUAGUUAACUUAGAAGCAAACUGUUUAUUGAUAAAAUGCUAUAGUAUAAUUAAGGGAGUUUUUUUUUUGAAAAAUAAUAAUGUUAGAUAUAUGCUGAUGCAACAAGGGCAUGAUUUUAUUUGUUAGCAAUACUAAUAAAAAAGUUCAUAGAAAAUAAUUUUAUACUCCCGAGGGUUAUACACAUAGUUUAAUUUGUUAAUUGUUAAAAAGUUAGCUAUACAACUAGCUAUAUAUUUGUAAAUACUAAUUAGUAGUGUAAAAAAGCAGGAACGAGCACCCGCCUAUGAUACCUUGAUUUACCAACACAAAACGUGCAUCUUGUGUGUAUGAUUGUGAAAUGCACGUUGUGUGUGGAGUUUGACAUCUAAUUUUUAACCCGCUGUUGGUCUUUCAUAUAGAGGAAUGUCUCGCUGUGCUUCCACGAGUCCCUGUAGUUCGCUACGGCUCAGAAACACAGUGUUCGGACGUCAGAUACACUAAAGUUGCACUAUGACAACCAUUGUACAAUCCAGCCCGCCUCAGUUAUAUUAAUAAAAAUAUCGAUCCGAGAACUUUAUCAUGUAUCUGGUUGCGACAGACGCAUAUACGUUCGAGAAAAAGGAGAUAAAUGGUCCUGCGAAGGUAAGGUGGCAGCUAUCGGUGUUCUAGUACACAAGACAACCGAACGCUACACACAGUACUACAAGUCAGUAAUAAAUAGAGUCUGGCGACUACUAGGCUGGCAUGACAGUGCUGUCGAGCGACUCGCCGAUGUGUAUGGCAAUGUGGAAAAUGCAUCCCAUUACUUCUCAUCUCCGCUCCUCUUUGCUCGGUUUGUCCAAGAAGCGGAACACACCACUCAUGUCGGCCUACAUGGCAUAACAUGCUCGUGGAGAAACUAUGNNNNNNNNNNNNNNNNNNNNNNNNNNNNNNNNNNNNNNNNNNNNNNNNNNNNNNNNNNNNNNNNNNNNNNNNNNNNNNNNNNNNNNNNNNNNNNNNNNNNNNNNNNNNNNNNNNNNNNNNNNNNNNNNNNNNNNNNNNNNNNNNNNNNNNNNNNNNNNNNNNNNNNNNNNNNNNNNNNNNNNNNNNNNNNNNNNNNNNNNNNNNNNNNNNNNNNNNNNNNNNNNNNNNNNNNNNNNNNNNNNNNNNNNNNNNNNNNNAAGACGAUGAAAAUUGAGUAAACACAAAAGUAAAGUAGCCGGUCUCAUUAUCAUUAGAAGACGAUGGCAACUACUGCAUGCACCCAUACAUUCUUGGAUCGCUAUAUUUGGCUUAUUCGGUCACAAACCGACGACUUUGCAGCUGCUACAUAAACAACGCUACUCUGGAUCUUAGGGAAAAAUGUUUGGAGACGGAUAUUGAUAAAGGAAACCGAGGAGAGUUGGUGAUGUGAGUCUACUCCAUCGUGCAUGCUACCUACAUGGACAAGCACAUCCGACCUGGCACAGCCUCGAGUUUCAUUAUCCCCUCUUGAUCCCUCUGAUGUUUCCUCUUUCUCUUCAUCAUCAUCUUCACAUCCCUCAAUGUGCACGUUUUUGUGCCUCGAUUUGAUUGGUUCAACUACUUGCUGGCUAUCCUCAGAGUGGUCAAUUUUUUUGGUGUUCGCGAGGAGUCACCAGUACAAGCAUGGUACUGAUAUGUCAUACAUGACCGUGGCAUUUGUACUUGUAGUUUCCUUUCAUUUUUCAUUUUCCUUUUUAAACGCAUACUGUACUUUCUUUACUACACGAUAAUUAAUAUACACUGCACAUUUUUGUAGUAUACGUCAAACAAAUUUUUUAAUUGUAUGAAAACAUAUUUUAUAUUCACACUAUUUUAAAAAAAUAUAGUGAAUAUUUCUAAAUACAUCUAUAAUUUUUUAAUACACAAUGGACAAUUUUUUCAUGUACACAUAACACUUUUUAGUAUAUGAGGAACAUUUGAAAUAUACGGCGAACAUUUUCUAUAUACCCACUAAUAUUUUUAUAAAUGCUGAACAUUUUAAAAGUACACGUUCAUUUUUGUGUUUUCACAAACCAUAGAAAACCAAGAAACUGAAGUAAAAUGAAUAAACGAAAAAAAACAGUACCGGACAGCUCCGUCGCUGCAAAAAUAGGUCUGCACGUCUUAGUGGGCCUACCCAUUCAGAGUCACCUAUGCGUAUCCUCAACUUUUUCGACAACGGGUGCCUUUUAUUUACUUAUAAUGUUGCAUCGAGGGAUACAAUCAUAACAAGCACACACCCAAACUAUGUAUAACUAGCAUACACACUGCGAACACACAUAAAAAAUCACACUGGCAAAUAACAAAGUCAAAUAAGACAAGAACUAUGGCUAGACACAUACAGAAAACGAAGGAAAGAAGAAGAAAUCCCGAGGCGACCAAAAGAGCAUACGUGAGUGAUCAUAUGUGCCAACCAUCUGAACUACUGCGUCAACUAGGAGGUCUCGCUUCUAAGGCCAUCAAUAAUAUUAACGAUGGUUCCAUAUAAAAAAAGAAUAUUAACGGUGGUAGCAGGUGCGAGAUCUUAAAUUAUCAUUUUUUAAGGCCGCUCCAUCGUUUUUGUUCUGCACAAGUGGCUCCCCUAGCCGUAACCCCACCCACUGGUUAUGUAGUUCUUUAAGAGAAAAUCGAUGACACAUGCAAGCAACAAUUUUGUAUCUUCUGUCAUUUGUUUAUACUAUGCCAUCACGAGGAGAUUGCACUUAAAAAGACAAAUUGCAUAUAGGAUAGUUAAAAAAGGGUUGUUUUCUGUCGUGGAAAGGUUGAUUCUAGUAUGAGUAUUCUCUUGGUAUCCGUUCCUUCAUGGAGAAGAGAAGGUGAUUUUCUCUCGCCGCCCCGUCAAUUGAAAUUAUACAUGUUCAAUGAUGACAUGAAGGUUAAUUUCACACCACUCAUUCAUUGUGCUUGCCUUGAGUUCCCUUCAAGGAUAUACCGUGGCAUUCCCGCCUCAAAGAGCUUUUUCAAACCCCUUUCUCAAGAUGCACAACUCAGUCAUUGUUAUCUUGUGUAGACGGGUUCAUCCAACAGGGUAUAAGAUAACACGAUGGACUGAACUGAAGAGAAAAGAAAAAAAAAAUCAUCUACUAAGCCUUAAGCAUUAAACAAGCUUGGAGUGUUGGUCAGCGUGCGACAUCAUUCAAGAAUUUUGUGGACCUACGCUGACCCAAUGAACUUGUGCCCUAUCCCUUGAAGAAAUAUCUCAUCAAUUAUGAAUAAAAAUGUUUGAAGCAUAGAAGUACUCAUGUUUUGACAACAAUACGACCCAUUGUCAUAAACUCAUAAUAUCCCCAAUUUUUACUCAUGAAAAUCAUGUUUGCAUCCCUUUUUGACUCGUUACAUUGCAAUUGUGUCCCAAUUAGAUAACAAUAACACUAAUGAUUGAGCUUGCCAUUGGUAUUCAGUUAUGUGUACACACACAUCACCUUAUGGGUAUUUCACACGAGAAGAAAAUUAGAGGCGAUUUAUUUGCAACUAACAGGCGCUUGCCGCCUCCCAUUGGCUCGCUGCUUGCCAACAAGCAUUCGAUUCCAUUCAACUGAAUUUAAGAAAAAUGGUCAGCAUGUUGGCGCUGUACUGUGUUGGGUUCGUUGAUUGCAUCCAUAUAUAUAAGCAGUCCAUUCCAUUCAACUCAAUUCAUCAACUGCAUCCAUAAUAAAUAUCAAAAAUUCCCCAUGGCACACAACGUGAUUUGCUUGCUUCUUGAUCGGAUUAUCAAACACCGGAGGGGUGUCUUCCUGUGUGAGGGUGGCCGAAACAAACUCGGCAAUUGCAGACGCUCUGAACUCGCCAUCUGCAAUACACACAGUACAUUGUUAGCCAAUUUAACAGUCAAACCAACUCGGUACAUAGAAAUGGAAAGGAGAAGCUAAAACAAGUUUACCAUAUACUGUUAACUUCGCCUCUUUUUUCUUGAGCAGGACUAGUGAUGGGCGCUUUGCUUGCGGGUCAACAUGGAAAAGCUUGGCUAUAUCAGGACUGGUAGUCUGGUAGAUGUUGACAGCCCGGUACAAGCUGUUGAAAUCUUCCAGCCUUGAGGCAGCAGCAAGCUCUUCGGUGUGAGCACCCUAUAGCAUUUGUUGAUAAGAGUAAUCAAUUUUGGGCCACAUGUGCGGUGCAAUUGCAGCAAUUCGGUUGGAUGGUAGACUUUGCUGGGAUUGGAACGUACCGAAAGGGAGUCGAGGAAAGCUAGCACGGCUACUUUGCCGCCGGUGAUGAUCUUCUCGGCCUCGUCGAUGGUGGUGACGUUCUGCACCUCAGGGCCCAGCCUCUGGGAUAUCCAAGUGACCAUGGCGUCCCUGCAGCAGUGGAAAAUUCGCCACCAUGAGGGAUGAAAUAUAAGACCGUUUAGAUCACCAAAGUAAUCUAAACCACGAACAAAAAAUAAGAACAAAAAAUUUGAAUGGAACAUUUCCUGAAAUUCACAAACAUUUCUUAAAAACAUGAAUCUUUCUAAACCACGAACAUUUUUUAAGUUGUCAACAAGAACAUGUUUUGAAGAUUCAGAAGAGUUGUAGUAAUUUUUUUCUUUAAUGCAAACAUUAUUUUCAAUUUUUGAACAUAUUGUGAAAACAACAAUAUUUUUAGAAUUUGGAAUAUUUUCAAAAUGCAUUUUUCUAAAUAUUGUUUUUUAAAUACAGUUAUUUUUUAACAAAUGGCAAUAUUUUUUAAAUUUUGAAAUACAUUUGGCAGAACUAAAAAAAUUCCAAACAUUUUUAGAAUAGGAACACAUUUAUGUAAUUCGUAUAUUUUUAUGAAUUCUUGAAUAAAAAUGAAAUUGCGAUAUUUUCCGAAAAUUUUGAAUUUCAGAAAAUACGUAGAAAAUAGACUUAGAAUGUGAAAAGUAAAAAAUAAAUACGAAACAAAAAGAGAACUAAGCAGAAAAAUAAAAAUGGAAACCGAACACAAGCAUAAAUCGGCCGCUGAGUUUUGGGCGCCUUGUGCGUACCUGAAACUAUUUACCGCCUUGUGCGGGAAAUAGGAUUUUUUGUUGCUACAUGGGCAGGAAAAAAUGGGCUGAAUUUACGGGGCCAUAGUGCGCGCGGCCCAUGUACGAAAUUUUGCACAAAUUGUUUUUCCUUUGCUAAUAGACGAACAUAGAAAGUUUAGUACCACCUCGGAAAGAAAAACAAUAAUUUUUUGGCGGUGAACGGAUAAAAAAAUCGGAGAAACGCACCUUGCUUUAUUAGUAGGUAUAUAUAGAUAUUGAUAUAGAUAUAGAUUGCUCAAGGUGAAAAGCUAAGGCUAUCCUCUUAAGAAAAAAAACGAAGUUAUCUUCCUCGAAAGAAAAACAAAACUAUGUUAUAUAUCCUCCUCUCAAUCAACAAAAUCACCUCUCCUCGAGCAAGCCAACUCUGACUGCACCAUGGGUAAACGUCAAGAUCCCUCCGAACGAUACACGAGAACCGUCUCGGCCACUGCCAAACAAUUGGCCACAAGCUUCGACAACAUAGCAGCUUGGAUUUUGCCGAUGAACUUUGCUGGGGAAAAUUGUAAGCCUCGCACCGAUCUAGUCCAGCGCAAUCUCUGGAGAGCAGCGUCCACUGAAACCAUCUUCAUGGAGUCAUCGUUUCCGCAGGCGCCCCUCCACACACAGCUUCAUCUUCUUUGUUACAACAAGAAACAAGCAUAGGCACACCCAUUGGCACACCCGACUGUCAAAUUCAGAAGGGCCAACCACGACCUAGCUCCGCUCGCCACCAUUGUCGUCGCCACGAGUGCCAACACCAACUACUCGCAUCAUCAGCUGUGCACCAUCCAACCGUGAGAAUGUGCAUAUCCAACCCAGGAAAAGUGUGGAGGGGAACAAAUCUUCAAGACGGCGCCCUAAGUGGGGAGCGAUGCAGAAAUAACAAUGUUGUCCGACCCUGCAACAGGGACCUUAGGCUUUUACUGAAGACAUCCCAAGGGUGACCAAGAUGGAAGAGCUGCACGGCGACCCUCCAAGAAGGAAUAACGACACUAGCAACCGCCACAUCAUCAUUGAUGGCAUAAUCCAGGCAAGCCUUUGCCCCGGAGGAACAAACGUGCACAUACACCCCCACUAGACAAAAUACUGCCUUACCUAUAGACAAAUCAGUUCUUUUUUGGGCGAGAUAAGCCCAAAGUAAUCUGUGCAAAUAUUCUCUGUAAAUUCAAAAUCUAUGUGUAUUAUAUGUAGUUAAUCAACAUUUUACCGCCCAAAUUAGAAUCCUAGCCACUUUAUACCUCGAACUUUCAUUAAAUGUGUCUAGACUUACGUAUUGAGUGCACCAUGCAUGCUGCCAAGCCAACCCGCGUUGAAUCGCGCCAUAAAUUUCCUUAAGUUUAAAUUUCCGCUAGGAUUUACCUUGUAAAUAAGUUUCCACCGUUCUUACUAGCACAAAUUUAAAGCUUUGGGGUAAAUCCUUUCUGCAUAAUCCCUGUAAAAAAUGAUAAAAGUAAAGGUACAAAGUAGAAAUUUUAAUAUAUAUCAUCACACAAUCAUAGUACAACCAGCACACACAUACAAUUAUCAUCCAUACAAGCCAGAAAAGUAAGUCAGAACAAUCACAAGAUUUACAUGGGCAUCAUACCCUAAUCUUGAUUGAUCUUGACAUUAUAUAGCACAGAAUGACUUGAUGGUGGUGGGUUACAACACACCACUUAUUUAAUCCAGCAGGCAAUAUAAGUCACGAGUAUACUAUAUCUGGCGCGGUUGAUGUACUCGAACAUCUCAUCCCAGCGGCUCCUCUUGGAUGUGUGCUUCCACAUUUUCCUUUUCCGCUUGUGUCCCAAGUGGUGGUUUUGGUUGUGCAUUCGGGUCCGGCAGUCCAGGCAGUGGUUGUGGGUUUGGGUCUGGUAAUGGUUGUGGGUUUGGAUCAGGCUGCGGUCCUGGUAAUGGCUGAGGGUUUGGGUUUGGUUGUGGGUCCGGCAAUGGUUUUGGGUUUGGGUCUGGUAAUGGUUGUGGGUUUGGAUCAGGCUGAGGUCCUGGUAAUGGUUGAGGGUUUGGGUUUGGCUGUGGGUUNNNNNNNNNNNNNNNNNNNNNNNNNNNNNNNNNNNNNNNNNNNNNNNNNNNNNNNNNNNNNNNNNNNNNNNNNNNNNNNNNNNNNNNNNNNNNNNNNNNNNNNNNNNNNNNNNNNNNNNNNNNNNNNNNNNNNNNNNNNNNNNNNNNNNNNNNNNNNNNNNNNNNNNNNNNNNNNNNNNNNNNNNNNNNNNNNNNNNNNNNNNNNNNNNNNNNNNNNNNNNNNNNNNNNNNNNNNNNNNNNNNNNNNNNNNNNNNNNNNNNNNNNNNNNNNNNNNNNNNNNNNNNNNNNNNNNNNNNNNNNNNNNNNNNNNNNNNNNNNNNNNNNNNNNNNNNNNNNNNNNNNNNNNNNNNNNNNNNNNNNGGCAAUGGUUUCGGGUUUGGGUCUGGAAAUGGUUGUGGGUUUGGAUCAGGCUGCGGUCCUGGUAAUGGCUGAGGGUUUGGGUUUGGUUGUGGGUCCGGCAAUGGUUUUGUGUUUGGGUCUGGUAAUGGUUGUGGAUUUGGAUCAGGCUGCGGUCCUGGUAAUGGACGAGGGUUUGGGUUUGGCCGUGGGUCUGGUAGUAGCUGCGGGUUUGGGUUUGGCCAUGGGUUCAUCAACCGUUGCAGGUUUUGGCCUGGCAAUGGUUGUGGAUUUGGGUCAGGGUGUGGUCCUGGUAAUGGUUGAGCAUUUGGAUCAGGUUGUGGCUCAGGCAGUGGUUGUGGGUUUGGAUUAGGUUUAGGAUCGGGUAGUGGUUGCGGGUUUGGGUCUGGUCGUGGUCCUGGCAGUGGUUGUGGGUCUGGCAAUGGUUGAGGAUUUGGAUUUGGUUGUUUUCCUG